rnacentral:lncRNA from 1 species
CUAGUGCAAAGGUCUCAUCAGUAUUGUGCUUGGCUCGAUAGACCCAUUUCACCCCAAUGAUCUUCUUUUUGACUGGGCUUUCAACCAGUUUCCAAGUCUGAUUCUUCUCAAUCAUGUUGAUUUCAUCAGCUUGCUUCCACACUUGUUGAGCUUCAGCCUCUUUUAAACAGCUUGGUUCAGCUAUGGCUACUUGAGCUCUUUCAUAAAUCUCAGCCAAUGGUCUAGUACCCCUAACUGGUUCAUCACCAAUGUCCAUUUUAGGACUAUUUUGAUCUAGCUCAGUUUGGUCUGUUACAAGAUCUUCAGAAACUUCCUGUGGCUCAUUCUUUUCCCAAUUCCAGCAUGACUUCUCAUCAAACACCACAUCUCUGCUUACAGACACUUUGCUUGUUGAAGGAUCCAAGAUCACAUAACCCUUUUUGACUGUGUUGUAGCCUACCAAAAUACCAGGUCGAGCUCUUUUAACCAGUUUAUCCCUUUUAAUAGCAGGCACAUGUGCACAGCAGAUACAACAAAAGACCUUUAGGUGAGCCAAUGAUGGUUUGAAUCCAAAUCAGGCCUCAAAAGGAGUUUUGUGAUCCAAGGCCUUGGUAGGAAGCCUAUUUUGGAUAUACACAGCAGUGUUAACUGUCUCAGCCCACAAGGUUUUAGGCAAAUUCUUCUCAAACAGUAGGCAUCUAGCCAUAUCCAUCAAGCUCCUGUUCUUCCUUUCACUUACACCAUUUUGUUGAGGAGUAUAGGUGUUGGUAAGCUGGUGUUUGAUGCCUGCCUUAUCAAAAAAUGCCUGGAACUGAGCUGAGGUGUACUCAGUCCCAUUGUCAGACCUUAUGGUCUUGAGCUUGCAAUCUGUUUCAGUUUCAGCAGCAAUCUUGAACUUUGAAAACACUAAGCCUAACUCUAAUUUCUGUUUCAAGAAAUAAAUCCAGUAAAAUCUUGAAAAAUCAUCAAUAAACAGAAUGAAGUACCUGCUUCCAUUUAGUGACUUGGUCUUCAUAGGGCCACACGCAUCAGUUGCACGAGCUGCAGCCUUUCAGAGGCUCUCCAUACCUGAUUUGAAGGAAAUGGGAGCCUAGCUUGCUUUCCUAGCUGGCAUACUUCACAAACCUUCUAUUUUUCAAAUGAACCAAUGAAGUUUUCAGCCAAGUCUUCUCUGGAUAGCUGAUCUAUUGAUCUGUAGUUGGCAUAACCAAGUCUUUGAUGCCAAAGCUUGGAUUUAUCAAUUGUGGCUGUAUAGGCAGUGUCUGAGCCAUUUGUCCAAUCAACAACAAAGCUCUUAUCAACCAUAGUGACUGCCAUGAACUUGGAUCCACUUGGAUUACUGAUUUGGCACUCCUUGCCCUUGAACACUACAAAAUACCCUUUCUCUAGCAGCUGAGCUAUGCUAAGCAGGUUUCUAUCAAUUUCAGGUACCAACAACGUAUUCGAGAUGAGCUUGUUACCUAUAGGAGUGCAUAUCAACACAUCUCCUUUACCUUCUGCCUUUAUAAAAUGACCAUUACCAAUCUUAACUUUGGUUUUGUAGCUUCUGUCUAAUAACUUAAAAUUGGAAGCAUCUGGUGUCGUGUGGUUUGUGCAACCACUGUCCAAAAGCCAGCCAUUUGCAAGCUUCUCCUGAGCAGCUGAGCAUGGCACAACAAAAACUUGCUCCUCACAGUCGCUAUCUUCUUUUACUACUCAAGCCUCAGCCUUUGGCUACUGAGGUUGGUUCUGCCUUGACUUGCCCUUGCUUUUGCAGACCUUUUCAACAUGCCCCAUCUUUUUGCAAUAUUGGCAUUGCACAUCUAGUGUAAACCAGCAAUUUGCUUCUGAAUGACCAGGUCUUUUGCAAUGCCUGCAGGGUUGGUCCCUUCUUCUUGCAGCAUCAAACUUUGGUUUGUCUUUCCAAGUCUUUUUGCUUUAUAGGCAGUAUUAUUCAAGUUAGGUUUGGUUUUUACUUGAAAGGCACCUUCUUGGUGCUCCUCCAAUCUGCUAGCUCUUCUCUGCUCUUGUGCAUAGAGAGCAUUGAUCAACUAUAUCAGUGAGAUGCUGGUCAGGUCCCUUGAAUCUUCAAGGGACGAAAUUUUUGCCUCGUACCUCUCAGGUAAAGUUGAAACCACCUUCUCCACUAUCCUUGCUUAUUGAAUUGCUCACCAAGGAGCCUUAUGUUGUUUACCACAGUCAUAAUCCUGUCUGAGUACUGUUUGAUAGUUUCUUUUCCUUUAUUUUCAAAUUCUCGAAGUCCCUUAUCAGAUUCAACAACUGUUGCUGCCUUUUCCUCUUUGUCCCUUGAAACUCUUGUUUUAAUUUGUCCCAGGCCUAUUUUGGUGUCUCACAAGCCAUGAUCCUUGUAAAGAUGACACCUGACACUGAGUUCUGGAUGAAAAACAUGGCCUUGUGCCUCUUAGUCCUUUCAUCAACAUGCUGCUUGAUCUGAGCCAUUAUUGGAUUGGCUCUAAAUAGCUCUAGUUCAACGUCUGAGUUAACCACCUCCCACAGAUCGAAUGCCCGAAGAUAGGUUUUUAUUUUGAGUUUUUAAAACUAUGCCUCUAGAACUGAAUGAAGAUAAGAUAUAUAUGCAAUGUAAUAUUAGUACCUUUCCAUCAAAAAAGUAGUCAAGAUCGUGUAUUCACCGGUUCCAGUUGAUAAAUGGAACGGCUCUUCUCUUUGGAGCAGAAACUACGAAGCUCUGGUAAAAGCUGUAGUGUUAAGGAUCGCAAUUGGCCAAACUCAAUUUUAUUGGAUUCUAUAUCAGCAUUCUGCUCUCUCUCUCCAGUAACAAUCUCUUUAAUGCUUUUGCACUUUGAAACUUUAAUUUCUUGAAGCUGGACAAGGAUUUUUGUUAUGGAGAAGGAAAACGAUUCUUGAGUCAAUUACAGCAUUCGACACUUGUGAUUUUCAAUCUCUUGGAACAUUCUUCUUCAAGUUUUCCUUGACAAAUCUUCUCCAAAUGAACCAAUGAUUCGAGGAUAGAAAAGGCUUUACAUGAUGCCACCUCCAUAGAGUCAAAAAUAAACUGUAAUUCUGAACCAUUUUGUAUGUAGAGAUUCUUGAGCUGUGGAAAACCAGUGCCAUCCAACUCAUACAGCAAGUUCUUGAUGCCUUGCAUUUCAUCUAGAUAUAGAUCUUCAAUUUUCUGCAACAACAGUUUAACUCCAUGAUCCAAGUGAAUUCCCUUAGUAAGCUAGAGUUUCAGUGUCUCUCAUUUUCAUACUUUUUGGACCAGUCCCAGACCUCCCCGAUAAGAAUCUUGUAUCGAUUCAAUUUUUCAGAGAAUAGUUCUGCUGGCAUAAGUUGAAUAGAAUGAAUAUGGACAUCCAAAGAAAUUAGACCAGACAAAGACUUCAAUUCAUGAUGUGUCUUCAUGUUACUAACUAAAUAUACGACUAAUGCAAGUGCACUUAUCUAUAAUAGUAUAGUUAACGUGAGUUGAGAUAUCGUAUCCACGAGGACUAAAAAUAUUAAUCCUGGAGCUAUUAAGCACAUUAAACAUGAAUUAGUUCAUAAUAUUGAAUUAAGCACAUUAAACAUGAAUUAAUAACUGGAAAUAUUAAAAUAAGAAAUAAAUAUACAUAAAUCAAGUAUUUAUCGAGUAAAAUAGAAAUUACAUAAUAUAAUGUAUCAUAGGUUUCAUCUUCCCUAGGUAUCUAAAGAAUUAGUAAUGAAAACAUCUUAAAGUCAUAAAAACCACAAUAAAUAAAGAAACUCAUAAAAAUUUCAAAAGAAAUUAAAAGGAGGUCUUCGAUCUUGAUGGAAAUUUGAUUCCGAGUUGGCUUCAAUGGUGUUCUUCAAGUUGUUUCUUCUAUCUUCUCUGAUGGCUCCUAUAUCUCUUAUUCUAUUUGGUAAUUAUAGACUUUAGAAUGCUCAAAAAGCCUAAAAAUUGUGUUUUUCUGCGUGUUUGGGAAGCAGGUUGCGAAAUCGACAAGGGCUGGCACAUGGGCGUGUGUCCAGCCUGUGUGGCUCCUGAAAUUUUCUCUUUUUCUCUGACUUUCACUCAUUUUGCUCCCAAAUGCUCACCUAAGUAUAAGAACAUGAAUUAAAAGGAUUAUAAGCAUCAAAUUCACCAAUUUUUAUAAAUAAUCAUCCAAAAACGCAUUAAGAAUGAGAUUAAAAUAUGUUAGUUUUAUCAUUUAUCAAUAUCCCCACACUUAAGCGUUUGCUUGUCCUCAACCAAAAUCCUUAACUCACAUUAAAAUUAAUCUUUCUCAACUUAUAAUUCCCAUCAAUAAUGUUAUGAUUCGCAAAUAAUCAUGUAUUGACAAUUCAACUAAAAGGGCACUUAAAGAUUCAAACAAUCCAAGUCGAAAUUUUUAAAGCAUGAAAACAUAGGUAUUUCCCCUUAUCUAUGUAAUUACCUUUAAUUCAAAAUCGACAAGAAUUGACAUCCCCACUAAAGAUCCACUCAAAUCAUUCAAAAUGUUUAAGGUUCAAGAAUAAGCACUCAAUAGUCAAAUAAGAAAUGUCAUUACCAUAAGCUUGCUUGAAAAUCAAAUCUCCACCACUAUAAAUUGAUAGGACACACUAAUCAAAAGUUUUUUAAGAGGUUCUAAUGGGGCUUAGGUUACGGGUGCGGAGAAAGGCCAGAAAAGUUUGUUAUAAUCGAGAUCAAGUUGAUAAAUUAUCAAACUAGAAAAAAAUAAAUGUUGAAUUAAAAACAAAUGCAUCAAUCAAGAAUAUUCAAAAACAAAAACGAGAUUCUUCUCAAAAAAAUGAAUUUAACUGUUCAAACUCAAUCAACAAAUAACUAGUUAAUAAUUAAUAUUUUUUUCAACUUUUUUUUUCUUUUUCUUUCAAGAACAAUAAGAAAUAAGUCAACAAAUCAAACAGAAGAGCAUAGCUAGGCAACUAACCAAAUCAAAUCUCAACAAAAAAAGAAGUUAAUAAAACAGGAAAAAGUCACAGCAAACGAAAAAAUGGGUUAUAGGUUAAUAUUAACGGGUCAUUCAAGAAAAGGUGUGUUAGGCUCAACGGGGUUCACUAAUGAGUUAAUUAAAAAGGUAGACUUUUUUAUGGGAUAAGUGGGUUAAAACCUAAGUGCUUUUAUUAUCUCAGUAUAUCAAAUCAAAGAUGUGGUCUUGACAUGCAUAAUUGAAGCAAGUUCUAGAAUAACAAAUCAAGUUGACACGCUCAUAACCAAUAAUAUAUUGUACAUGUAAAAUGUAUGCUCUGAAGGCUCAAAAUCUCACAAAAAAUCAUGGUUUUGAUGUCAAACUUGCAAAUUUAAAACUUCAAGAUAAUACCUCAAUUCAGGGAAACAACCUAAAAUUUUUAAUUCUAAAAAAUAACUUAUUAUGAUUGAUUCUUUCAUGUCUUAAAUUUAAAUCAACUAAUGCACAAAUAUCUACAAAUUAAUCCAAAAAAAAUCAACAAAAAUCACAAAUCGACAAAAUUUCAUUCUAAUUCAAGUAUGAGAAAUUUACUUAAAUACAAUAAAUAAUUUAGGGAUUUUUAAUAAUUAUCUAAAUAACCUCCCCACAUUUAAGAUGUACAUUGUCCUCAAUGUACAAACAAAUAUAAGCAUAGUAUAAACAGAAUAUCAUAAGAGAGGAAGAAAACUGAAACUGCCCUAAAUAUUGGAUGAAAUCGUCAAAAUGGUGAAAAUCAAAAUUAUAGGCAAAUCUAAAUGUAGUGCAUGAUUCUGAAAAACUAAUAAGAAAAUAAACACAAAUAAUGAAAAAUAUUAAGAGGUUACAAACUCGAUUAGAAACAACCAUAAAAAUAAAAAUAAAAAAAUAGUUCAAAAGAUAAUAAACGAAAUAAGUCUAAGAAAAUAAAAAUAAAACAACUAAAAGCUCAAAAUUUGAUGUGGUCGUUGAAAGCACCAAAAAUAUCCUAUCCCUAAUAAAUAAUGAAAAAGAAUAAUAAAAGGGAAGUAGGGUCAAAUCCUCAGGGACUGGACUUGCAAAAUAUCUUGUUUCGUGAAAUCCCAAGCAGAGUCUUGCCCAAGACAACUUGCGUUCCUGAAAAAAAAACAAUAGCAGAAUUAAAUUAUUGGAUCUAGAAACGAAAAAUAAAUUAAAAACAGAAUUAAGAAUAUUGAAUUAAAAAAUUCGAGAAAUUAAAAAUAGAGUUAAGAGAAAGAAAAUUCUUAUGGGAGAUUCCAGCCUCUAGUUGUCUCGUUCCGCCUUGGGUUCAAUCCUCGGCUUUUAGAUGAUCCUUCCCAAAUCGAAUAAGCCAGUUAUAGUGGAAGAGGAUGCCUACGACCACCAGCUCCAAGGAUUUAGACUUACAAUUUAGUGGAACCUGACUCUAGCCAACAAUCGCUUCUGUGGGAUCGUCUUAUGCUAGAUCAACGCUUCUCAAUGGCGAAUCCCAUGCCAUUUUGUCUCUUGGGCUCGCCAACCUCUGACGCAGUAAGCUAACGAACCGACUGUGCAACCUUCCCAAAACAUACAAAGUGGCCGUCUUUGCAUACGUUGAAAAACUUACUUCUUAAGGGGCUUGGACGGAAGCGUCAGCCCCGUAGUAUGGAGAAACAAUGAAUACUCAGCGAGGAGGCUAAGUACGGAUUCUAAGCCUUAUGAACCCUUUUGGGGAUUUUUGACAACUUUCGGCUAGAUGGGUUUAGUGGCUCAUGGUUGUGGUAGAAAAUAAAAUAAAUAAAAUAAAAAUAAAGAUUUUAUUAAAAGGAAAUAUGAAAAGAACAAAAGCCUAAACUUUUGGGGAGAGAGUGUUUACAGAAAAAGAAAAGAUGAUAUCCUUUUGAGUCACUUCACCCCCUAUUUAUAGUGCUAGGGAGAUAGUCUAAUCCUACUUAAAUUCCUAAAAGAUAAAUACAUUUAAUUGAAGAUAAAUAAAGAUAAAAUAAAAUCCUAAAAAUAAUCCUUAAAAUUAUCUCAAUAUUAAUUAUCCUAAUAUAAUUAAAAUAGAGUUUAAUUGAGUAAAAUCUCUUCUUUUUGCAUUUCAACCCUUGUGUCCUCCAUGCUUGCACUUUUGGCACCAACUUUUCCUCGUGUCGCACAUUGGCCCAUUUUAUCUCUAAAGUCACGCUUUUGGCCCUUAAUUUUGCUUUUGCCUUAAAUUUAGUCCCUAUGAGAUAAAAGAUCAUAAAUAGCUCAAAUUAGCAGGAUCAUACUCAGAAUAAAUACAUAAUUAAUACAUAAAAAUACGCUAUUCUAGAGUGUUAUCAAAAGCAAAAAUAAAAAAAUAAAAAAAAUUAAUGGUCUUCGUUGUCAGAGCCAUCGUGAUCAUGAGGCACCAAAUCUAAAGAAGAUAUAUGGAGGUGCUGACAGAUUUACUACAAGGUCGCAUCAAUACUGUUGAACCAUUCAUAGAAGUGUCACUCAAAACGAGUGAAACGCUCGAGGAGAUCCGCUAAGGUGGUAGCGAAAGUAGUAGGAUGGUGACUCUAAGAUGGAGGAUAAGGUGGAUCCUCAUGGUGGAAGGGGACAUCAUCGGUGAAUUUUUCAUGCUCAUCUUGAGGGUCAAAAUGAGAUAACUGGUAUUGAGGAGGAUCAACUCCACAAAGUCACUCGAUCAUCCUCAUGUGACUCAUACUCGAUAAUCCCUGCGAGGCCAUUUUCCCAAUAAGGGUAAAGGAGGAGGACUACUUCAAAGUGUCGUGUGAGUCGAGUCACAUAAAGGCCUAAGUAGAUAGAGCCCUUCCUACUGCGCUCUGUUUGAUGGCACACAACUAGGGCGAUAAAAUAAGUAAGAUCAAAGGUGCGCCUCGUGGCCAUGUUUCAUAGAAAAUAAGCAUUGGUUGUACCGACAACACCAGUGCUCUUCCUCCGACCGGUCAAAGUGUGAGCUAAAAUGACAUGAAUAUAGUGUAAGGCUGGAGGUAAGGAAGCCACCUUCGAUCGACUCGUAUCAUAACACGUUGUACUCGUAGUGAGGUCUGCCCAACAUAGAAAAUGCGAGUAGUGGAUAUGCCAGUGUAAACUGAGAAAGCUCUCGUGACUCAUGAACUCGUCUGUGAAAAGUCCUAAUGCAGCUCCGAACACUGGGACUCUCAUAUGAUGCAUUGUGCCACCGAGUCUGAAGGUGAUAGUUCCCGGCUCAUCGUGUGUCGACAUCACUUGCUGAAAUAGGAAUGUUGAGCAAAAAUCGAGAGUAAGCUUUGAGUAGAUGGGCUCAAUGAUGGAGAAAAAUUGGUCCCAAGGAGCUAUGGCAAUGGUGACGUGCACUCUAUCAGCUAACUGGACCUACUCUAAAGUGGCCCAACCAAUGCAACGACCUAAUCCCAGUGGCCUCUGUCAAAGAUGCUGAUAAAGGUCCUCUUGAGAACCUUGUGCAAAGCGGAGGUAUGGAUGGUGGGAACCGGUGAAAGCGUCCGACGAUGAUGUCGCACCUAGAUUUUUCUGCUUUUUCAAAGCAGGGAUGGCGAAUUUAGAUUUGCCACUUGUGUUGGUCAUUAUGUCCUUAAAAUAAAGGGUAAAAGUAAAAUAUCAGAUAACCAAAAAAAUCAGCAUAAACAAUAUAUCAAAGCAAAAACCUAUUCUAGGCCAAUAAAUAGCACGAUAGAGACCGAAUUGAAGUGAAAACCUAGACCACAAUACUGAACAACUAACCUAAAAAAAUUCACCAACAAUCAAGCAUGAUAAAAAUAAAAAUAAUAUAAUAAUAAAGAUAAAGUGAAAUAAAAACAAUCAAGGCCUAUUAAUAAAAUAACUAAAAAUAGUGAAACAUAAACAAAAUAAACAAAACCAAUAACAAAAAAUGAAAAAUAAUAUAUAUAUAUAAGAAGAAGAAGAAGAAGAAGAAGAAGAUAAAUAAAAAUUAAUGUAUAAAAUCGAAAAAAUAAAAAUAAGAAUGCAAAUAAUAAUCAUAAAAAAAACUAAAGAUAAAAUAAUAAGAAUAUAAAUAAAGAUCAAUAAUAAGCUAAACAUAAUAAUAAAAAUGAUAAUAAAUAAAGAAGUAAAUAAAUAAUAAGGUAAAAGAAUGGACCAAUCAGACUAAGGUUAUACGACAGCGGCAGUAAUGGGCGGCGAUCCACGACGGUAGGCUGAUGAGGGGAUGGUAGGGAAGGAGGGGAAAGGCGGGGUGGUUUUUGGUUUAAAUGAGGGGAAAGGGAAACAAAAAAAAUGGAGGGGUUAGUUGAAGGAAAAGGACUGUCGGUGGUGGGGGUGGAACCGAAGAGAGGAGCAAAUGGCGGGGUGGUUUUGUGGAGGGAAGAAAAGGGAAAGGGGAAGAAGAGAGAAAUGAUGAGGGCGGAUGGGGGUGAGGGAGAGAAGGGGUUUAGUUAGGGGAAGGCUGUGAUAGGAAUGAGGGAAGGGAAGGAAAAAGGGAAGGAUGAGGGAGACAACGACGUGAGAGGGAGCGAACGGGCGUGACGAACGGUGAGGAAAUGGUCAGACUGGUGGGUAGAGAGUCGAACGACGGUUAUGGAGGGUUGUGAGAAGAAGAAAAAGUACAAAGAAAUUAAGGUUGUUUGGGGGGUAAUAAAGGAGACAUAGUCGUGUUUAGACUCGUGUUGGGCAACACGCCCGUGUGGUACUCUUUUAGACUAUGUGUAAUUCAAAAAACUUAAGCCUAGUCUUCACACGGCCUCAGACACGCCCGUGUGUGAUUUCCUUUGCUUCUCCCACGCCUAUGUGAGAGGCCGUAUGGGUCACACGAUCUCAUACACGCCCGUAUGUCCCUACCGUAUCUCGCACAGGAUCAUGUCUCUUGCUCGUGUCACCCGUUGACUUGAAAUUAAAAUUAAAAAAUUAGUUCCAAUACUCACACGCCCAUGUGCCUAAGCCGUUUGUGCCACACGGACGUGUUUUCAAGCCAUGUGGACCACCUCAGGUCAUGUUACAAUUGACUUUUGGAAAAAUUAAGUCUCGGGAUUCACACGGCUAAGGACACCCCUGUUUGUCCAGGCUGUGUGACUCACAUGGCCAUGUUUUUACACUAUGUAACUCUAUCAUUUGCUCCCUUAUGCAUACAUUUUUAAACACACAUUUUUAAAUUUAACUUUAAAUUAGCAUGCAAUAAAAUUAAAAGAAUUAACUGAGGUUAAACACUCGGGUUGCCUCUCGAGAAGCGUUUAUUUAGAGUCUAAGCUUGACUUUACCUUAUGCACGAAUACGAUGGUUCAUAGAGCCGAAGCUCUUAUUUUUCGUUAUCAAUUAUUCUACCAAGAUAAGGUUUGAGUCAAGUACUAUUUACCUUAAAUGUGUCUAACUCAAAAUGAGUUACUUCGACUGUACCAUAUGGGAAGACGUUCAAUACCGUAAAUGGGUUUGAUCCAUUUGCAUCAAGUUCUGAAGAGGCAAUUCAUGGAUCCGUUUUGUCUAGCAGUACUUUAUCCCCAACCUUAAAUUAGUUUGUUCAUUCAUAUGCUCCUCAUGAUGUCGCUUUGGCUCUUCAUCGUGUUUUCUCGAUUUCUUCUUGACAUGUGUUCGCCAUUCAUAUAGUUCAUUGAGUUGCACCAUUCAUUGUUAAUGAGUUGUUCUAUUUUUGUCACCUUUACUGAAACAUGGCUCCAUUACAUUUUCACGAGAGAUUUCCUACAAUGAAGGUUGAGCCACAUGGUUACUCACAUUAACAGAACGUUUCAUACUAUCUCGUUCACUAGAGAUUUUAGCAGAAUCACGUGCUUGGAGAGUAAUCGUUUUGUCACAUACCCGAAGUACUAAUUCACCCAUACCAACAUCAAUAAUAGUCCUGCCAAUGGCUAAAAAGAGGCGACCUAAAAUUAAAGGUAGCUCACUACCCUCAUCCAUGUCCAACAUAACAAAGUCAACGAGGAAUAUGAAUUUAUCUAUUUUAACAAGCACAUCCUCAAUAACACCCCAAUUGUUCUAUCUGCUAAUUGAAUACUCAUCCUAAUGUGUUUAGGUUUCCCAAGACCUAGUUGUUUAAAAAUUUUGUAGGGCAUGACAUUAAUAAUGGCCCCUAAAUCAGCUAAGGCAUUAUUAUUUAAACUACCAGUGAGACAAGGAAUAGUAAAACUCUCUGGAUCUUUGAAUUUGUUGGGUAGUUUAUUUUGUAAUAUGGCCAAGCAAACUGCAUUGAGCUCUAGCAUCGACGAGUCAUCUAACUUCCUUUUGUUUGCCAAAAGCUACUUUAAAAAUAUGACGUAAUUUGGCAUCUGCGAAAGAACUUCAACAAACAGUAAGUUAAUAUGUAAUUUCUUUAAGAGCUUGAGGAAUUUACCGUAUUGUUCAUUCGUGAGGUCUCUCUUUGACGCCUUAGGAUAUGGCACUCAAGGUUUAUAUUCCUUGACAAUCAGCUUUUUCUCUUUCCUAUCUUCCACAGCAUUAUCGUUAUACACCACAAUUUCUUGCCUUAGUUCUUGUUCAGAUUCAACUAACCCUUCUUUUUCUCGAAUAGUAAUUGCAUGAAUCUGCUCCUUUGUGUUAGUUUCAGUAUUGCUAGGCAAGCUACCUUGUGGUUGUUCUAAGAUUAGUUUAGCAAGCUGACUUAUUUGGUUGUUGGAAGCCUGGAGGGGGUUAUGCUCUUUGAAUUCCUUGACCACCCUAAGUGAAAUUGGGAUAUUUCCUCCAACCUGCAUUAUAUUUGUUACUAUAAGGGUUAUUUUGAGGUCUAAAAUUAUUACUCAUAUAAUUGAUUUGCUCGUUCUCUAUGCUAGGACCGAAGGGUAAACAUUCUGGAUUAUUUGUUCCACCUCCAUUUGUAUUGCAUUGCAUCACUAGAUGUACAUGUGUAGAAAGAUAUAAACAAUUAAUUUUCUUAUUUAAUACUUCUAUCUGGUUCGAUAACAUGGUGACUGCAUCUAAAUUAAAAACACCGGCUGCAUUCAGCGGCUUUGUCCUCAUGACUUGCCACUGAUAAUUAUUCAGUGGCAUCUCCUCUAUAAACUCAUAAGCCGCUUCGGGUGUUUUAUUGUUCAAAGUUCCACCGAGUACUACAUCAAUCAACUACCCCAUUAAGGGGUUCAAACCAUUGUAGAAGGUUUGAACUUUUAACCAUAAAGGUAAGCCAUGGUGAGAGCACCGUCUCAAUAGAUCCUUGUAUCUCUCCCAUGCAUCAUAUAUUGUCUCUAAGUCGAUCUGAACAAAGGAAGAUAUGUUAUUCCUCAACUUAGUUGUCUUAGCCGAUGGGAAGUAUUUUAGUAGAAAUUUCUCAGUCAUUUGAGCCCAUGUAGUAAUGGAACCUCGUGGUAAAGAGUUCAACCACUAUUUUGAUUUGUUCCUUAACGAGAAUAGGAACAACCGUAAAUGAAUGGCGUCAUCAGUGGAACCAUUAAUCUUGAAAGUGUCGCAGAUUUCCAAAAAAUUAGCCAAAUGAGUAUUUUGAUCUUUUUCUUUCAAACCAUUGAACUGAAUAUACUGUUGUACCAUCUAAAUUGUAUUCAGCUUCAGUUCAAAAUUAUUUGCAGCAAUGGUGGGUCAAACAAUACUUGAUUCAACACCAGUCAGAGUGGGCUUGCCAUAAUCGUACAUAGUACGAGAAAUAGGCGUGGAACGACGAAAAUGUGCAAGUGUACACAACACAACAAGUAAUAAAGUGACAAGUAAAUGUUAAGCUAUCGUACCCACAGGGACUGUAAAAAAAUUAUUUAUGAAAGUAAGUUUAAACAAUUUGGUGAAAGAAAAAUAUUUGGAUUUGGGAAAUGAUUAAAAACUAGAAACAAAGUAAAUAAAAUAAAAUAAAAUAAAGUUCUAAUGCACGAUUUCAAAAGCUGAUUUUAAUCAAGAUGAUAUAAUUGUGUUAGAUUAAUUACAUUUCAUUACCUUAGAAUCAUUAAACUUAUGCUUAUACUUAUUACUAAUAAAUCAUGGCAACUCGGUAAUUCACUAACUUAUGAACAUAUUUACAAAUAAAAAAUCCAUUCAUCUCUUGUACAUAUUCCUAUGUCAAUUCGACCGAUAAAAUAGAUUUAUAAAGAUAAACAUGUUAUUGCACAUACAUACUUAUUAAAUUAAACAAUCUCUCGCAUAUUCCUAUGUUGAUUCAAAUGAUUAAUUCAACCAAAUAAGCAUAUAAAAGACUAUGUGAGGUAACAAAGUAUCCUUACCUUGAAACAGUUUAAUCACAAUAAUCUUGCAAGUUAUGCAAGGCAUAAGUAUCGCGAAAUACAAUGCUAAUCUAAUCUUCAGCUACCUUAGAAGAAUUAAACAUGCACUGAUUAAGUACUGUGUCCAUUAAUUACAAUUUCAAUGUAUUUAAAUAAUAAAAUCUUUAGUUAUCUUACAAUUGUAAUGCAAAAAUAACUUAAUCAUGGUUUUACUUAGUCAAACAUUUUACCGAGGCCUAUAACAGUAUAAACAUAAAUUUAACAAAUCAAGAGGACAGAACGCAAUCAACCCAACACGAAUUAAAUUCAAGCUAAGCUGAUUAAACUAAUCAUUCUAAUAGCAUAAAUAUUCAUAGAUUUGUUCAUCAUAAAACCAACAAAAAUUAAAGAGAUAAUGAACAGGAAUCAAAUCUGGUGGUUUUCCGUGGCUUGACUAGGUUGCUCCGUUCUUCCUUCUUUGUUGUCCUCGCCAGUCAAGGCUGCUAUGAACACUCAAUUGCUACUCCAAAAUGGAUGAAGAAGACCCCUUUCCCAAGAGGAGAAAUCGGCACAAGAGCAAGGAACUUUGAAUGGGAAAAUGAGAGAUAAAAGUGAGAGAGGAGAGAAGAGUUGUGAGAGAAGAGAUGUGAAUAAGGGAUGAUUUGAAUGGGAAGCAAAAAUAGAAAAUUUUAGUAGCGAAAGAGCCCCCUCAUGGCCGGCCAUUCUACAUGGAAAAGUUGAGACUUUCAACUUUGCUAAAAUUAGCCUGGGGCAAAUCCUUAAAGCCUUAAUUUAAUGUGAGGUUUAAAUGCAAUUUGGAAGUCUUCCAAGGGCCUUUUUGUAGCUCAUUUAAUCAACUAAAAAUGCUAAUUUGGGUCAGCAUUUGAAUGAUUUUGGGCUGCCCAAUUGGUGGCUGGUUCGGUUUGCUCAAUUUGGUUCAACUAGUACGGUUCAACUAGGCCCUAUUUUCCAUAAUUAAUUAAAAUUAAUUUAUUUAGCCCAAAUUAAAUUGGGAAUAAAUUAAAAUUAAUUAUAUUAUGAAUUAAUACACAUAUUUGGACUGUCUUAGGUUUGAUAUUAUUUUUCCUUGUUACUUCGAAUUGCUUCUCGAUUUUGUUCUUCUAACGGUGUCUACCGGGUCAAUUUUCACCUUUUGUACGAAUCAGUCAAAAAUAAUCAAAAUUCACUAAAAAUAAUUGUAAAAUUGACUAAAAAUUAACAUGUUAAAGUUUUUAAUACAAUUUAAUUAUUUUAUAAAAAUUAAUUAUUUUAUGACAAAAAUUUUAUCGAAAAUGCAUGAUUUUAAGUAAAAUUAGGUAUGAAAAAGUAUAUAAAUCUUUGUGUUUCCAAGGAGCAGGAGCUGCAGCAACUACAUGAGGUAGGUGAAUAUUCUGAUUAUCACCUAUCUCCUCAGUAAUAAUAAUAUCCUCUUAUUCGCCUACUAAAUUCUGUCAACUCUGCCUUAUUUUUCUACGAUUUUUGUGAGCUAUACUUUCAAUUUCGUUGUCGAAAAGCAAAGGUCCCAACAGGUUUCUUCUAGUCAUAAACCAAGAGAACCUGCCAAAAGUAAAUGAAAUAAAAAAAGUAGAAUGUAAAAAUUAAACUAAAACAUGAAUAUCAAAUAAAAUAAAAUAAUGGCUAAUUAAUAAAAUUAAAUUGUUCCUAAUAUUUUAGUCCCCGGCAAUGGUGCCAAAAACUUGAUGUGUCUUCAUGUUACUAACUAAAUAUACGACUAGGGCAAGUGCACCUAUCGAUAAUAGUAUAGAUACGAUGAGGUGAGAUAUCGUAUCCACGAGGACUAAAAGUAUUAGUAAUUAACAUUUUCUUAUUACUUAGCCGACAAAUUGGAGUGAUGUGUUUAAAACUAAAUUUACAAAACUAAUUUAACUAAUAACUCAACAAAGAAUGAAUAAGGAAAAUAAUCGAAUGAUAACUAAUGAGAGAGACAAUACCCAUGAAAGAAUUCACCUAGACUUCACCUAUUAUUAUGAAUCUGAAUUAAACGAUUUAUUCACUUAGUGUCUUGAUCUGUAGAAAUCCCUAAAUUAUGCUAAUAUCUCUUCGAAAGUAAGAGCAAUUGACUCUAGGUUGAUUAAUUGAAAUCUCUUUCUAAUUAAAACCCCUAUAAUCGAAUUAACUCAAUUUAUGAAUUCCAUUAUUAGAUUUGACUCUAAUCCAGUAGAUUUAUGUCAUCUUAUUUUAGGAUUGCAUGCAACUCCACUCAAUUAUGCUAGAUCUACUCUUAAACAAAGACUUUUCCUCCACUGAAUUAUUCAUAUUAAACAUGAAUUAAUAUCCAAAAAAUAUUAAAACAAGAAAUAAACACACAUUAUUGAGAACAAGAAUCAAGUAUUUAUCACGUAAAACAGAUAUUAAAUAAUAGAAUUCAUCAUAAGUUUUAUCUUCCCUAGGUAUCUAGGGAAUUAGUUCAUAAUCCUGAAUAAAAAUAUAUCAAAGUCAGAAAAACUAGAAGAAAGAAAGAAACUCAUAAAAACAUCAAAAGAAAUUAAAAUGGCGUCUUCGAUCUUAACAAAAAUCUACUCUGAGUUGGCUCCAAUUGUGUUCUUCGAGUUGUUUCUUCGAUCUUCUCUGAUGGCUCCCAUAUCUCUUAUUCAAUUUGGUAUUUACAGAAUUUAGAAUGCUCAAAAGCCUAAAAAAUGUGUUUUUCAGCGUGUUUGGGAAGCAUGUUGCAAAAUCAACAUGGGCUGGCACUUGGGCGUGUGUCCAGCCCUUGUGGCUCCUGAAAUUUUCUCUUUCUCUCGACUUUCGCUCAUUUUGCUCCCAAAUGCUCACCUAAGUAUAAGGACAUGAAUUAAAAUGAUUUGAAGCAUCAAAUUCACUAGUUUUCGUAAAUAAUCAUCCAAAAACGCAUUAAGAUUAAGAUUAAAACAUGUUAGUUUUAUCAUUUAUCAAUUUACUAAAGCUGGCAUUGCCUUCAACACCCCAUUGAUUAAAGUUGUUAUGCAUAACUAAUUCUUCUAAAUAAGGCAGGCCUGAUGUGAUUUUCCUGGAAUGACUUUAAGCUUAGAACAAUUACUCAAGUCUAAGGACUUAAACCUUGUUAGUCUCCCUAUUUCCUAAGGGAUCUUUGAAUAUCAGAACUGAAAAUUUUAAGUGUAUACAAUUGCUUCAGGUUCCUAACAAUUAUGAUGUCAUUCAACUUACAUUCAUUGAAAUGUAACCUUUGAAGGUUUCUUAAAGAAGUAAAUGAUGAAGGUAGGGAAGCAAAAUCCAUACCAGUGAAAUCUAAUAUCAAGAGUUCAUUCAUCUGCUCAAAGAAAUUGUCUGGGACUUCUAACGAUGGAUUUUUGUUUAACAAAACCAGCAACUUUAGCCUAAGGCAUUCAAGAUUGUCUGAUAGCUUGUUAAUGCUAGUGUAUGGCAACAAAAUGGCAGUGCAAUUAUUGAGUUUUCUUUUCUUUAUCAGCUCUUCAAUAUGGAUUUCAUCCUCUAUAACAAACAUCUACUUUUCUUCAGAUGCAAUCCAAAUGGCAACAUCACGAACAAUGUCAUGCAUUUUCACCAUUUCAUUGUUGUCACUGCUGAGUAAUAAACCUGCAUCUUUGAGCUUAUUCAAACAUUAUUUGGCUUCUUCCAUUGUGCUAACAUUACUUGCUAUUCUUAAACCCAAGUUGUAUCUUAGCAAAUCAAAUACAUGAAUGUCAAAACCCUGGGGCAGCAAGGCACAGAGUUGGAAAAAUGACUACAAUUGAGGUUUCUUUAACAUGCUGUAACUUUUCUCUAAAGUGAAGUAAACACUUUUGAACGCUUCUUCAUUUUUUGUAAUUGGCUUUGGUUCUUUUUUCCAAAGCCUCCACCAAGUUAAAGUUUUGUGUUCUCAAUGCAAUUGCAAUUGCUAAAAUAGCAACUGGAAAACCUGCACAGUUUUUCACAACUUUAGUCAGUAGUUGUCAGUAACCAAGCUUGUUUGCUGCAUUGCCCAUAACUUUCUGAAUCCACUCUAUUGCUUCUUCAUUAGUUAACAUUUGGACAUUGAACAUUUCUUCAGUUUUCAUGUCAAUGAGUAACUGUGGAUUUGUGGAAGUUAGUAAUAUUUUGAAUCUAACAGCAGAGGAUUUUUGAAAACCAUUUUCACUAAUAUUUUGUAGUAAUGGUCGUCCUAGAUCUUCUUCAUUUGCAAUAUUCUAGUCACCUUCAAUAGCAAUCCCAACUUGUUCCAGUUCUAGUCUUUGACCAUCCUAAAUGUCAUCUAAAAUUAAAAGAACUCUCUUAUCUUGUUUCUUUAACCAUUUCUCUAGUCCUAUUUCUCUUGCAAACACAAUAUCCUUAUCAAGUUUCAGACCUAGUGCAUCUGUAAUUUCUCCCUAAAUUCUUUUUACGUUUGGAUUCCAUAAAACAGUUACCAUCAAAACCUCAUCAAGCAUGGUUUCUUCAUUGGCUCUCCUAGCAGCUUCUUUCACUGGCAUGGUCUUGCCUACACCGGGCAUCCCAUUUACUCCAAUGAUCUUCAAAUCAGGAUCCUUUAAAGCUUCCACAAUAUCUUCCCUGAUAGUCGAGUAGUUGAUAAGGUGAUUACCACACUUCUUGAGAGAUAUGAAUCAAGGAUAUCCUCAUUGGAAGAUUCAAAGGAUCUAUCAACCAUCUCACUCUUUGAACUAAUCAAUGCUAUGUAUGCUUAAGAAAAAAGAAGGGCAAAUAAAGAAUAAAGGUACGUUGAUGAAGUCUUUCAAGCCAAAAAUAGAAAAGGUUCGAGCUCCUUAAAAAAUGAAGAAAAGAAGGACUGGACAAAGAAGAAAGAGGAUAAUUGGAGAAAUGGUGGCAAGGAGAAAAAUCCAUUAUGUUCUCAAUACAAAAAGACCAAUCACCUAAAGAGGUAUUGUUGGUUCAGGCCAGUUAAUCAAUGUAGAAGCUGCAAACAAUUUGGUCAUAUGGAGAGAGUGUGCAAGAAUAAUAAGCACGCACAACAACAAAAUGCUCAGGCACAGACAAAAGAAUCAAAUCAAUAAGAACUGGUGUUCACUGCCUCCUGCGAAGCCAAACUCGCUACCCCUUGAGAAGUCCUAUUUGCGACACCGUGUGAACCCUCCAACAAAGUAAGAAAAAACUGGUUGGUUGACUGUGGUUGUAUAAACCACAUGACUUCGGAUGAAAGCAUUUUCAAACAGAUUGAUAGAAGUUGCAUUUCAAAAGUUAGAGUUGGAAAUGGUCAGUACAUCGAAGCUGUAGGAAAAGAAGAUAUGCUAAUCAGCACUUCUAUAGGUACUAAAGUAAUUAAAAAUGUGCUUUUAAUUCUUGAGAUAGAUCAUAAUCUCCUUAGCAUUGGUCAAUUGAUUGAGAAGAAAUAUAUUGUAACACCCCUAACCCGUACCCGUCGUCAGAUUAGGGUUAUGAGGCAUUACCUAACACAACACAGUCUAACACAGUCAUUUAUCACAAUUCAUAUCUACUAAUCAUAUCUCAUAUACAAACCAUACUUCUUUUCUGUGCAAACCAAUUUCACAAACCAAUUCACACACUGAAAUUUAACUGAGUCAUAAUCAUUCUACUACUCACAUUUCGAACCAAUUAACAUACAUCGAUUCAUAUUACAUUAUAGCAAAACACAUCUACCAACUAAAUCAUACAUAUAUACUUUGAAACAUACUUCCCAAAAGAGCUUAUAACAUGACCAAAUAUACAUAAUAAUUAGUAUAUCUAACAAGCCAUUUCGCAUGCCAACUUAUAUACAAUUCAAAAUUAGCCAUAGUCUAUACAUGCCAUAUGUCACAAUAUCAAGCUUUCAAAAUACCGAAAUGGCGAUUGAUAGUGUGAAGAUAAUCCUUGAUGAUCCCCGAGCUCGAGCUAGCUUUAUGUAUCUAUAAAGCAAUGGAAGGAUGCACAAAGUAAGCUUUGGAAGCUUAGUAAGCCAUAAGCAAAUAAAUCAUCUCAAUGAUAUUUAGAAUUCAAUUCAACUAGGUCUAAUUCAAAUGAAUCUCAAACACAUAUACAUUUAACUAACCCAUAUAAAUUCAUAUUAUCACAUUAAGUACUAAACUUACCUUAAUAUUUCAUGAACAUAUAACUUCACACAUACCUGAACCAUUUAGCACAUAUUUACAUUCGGAAUUGUUAAGAACACACGAAAUUCAUAUAAAGCUCAUACAAUGCCAUAUCCCGGAUAUGGUUUUACAUGUUAACGCAUAUCGAUGCCACUAUCCCAGAUAGGGUCUUAUAUGAAUCAUAUACGAUGCUAAUGUCCCAAACAUGGUCUUACACGUUUUCUCACUUUGAUGCCAAUGUCCCAGACAUGGUCUUACACGAAAUCACACCUCAGAAGUCCUAAUAUCAUGACAUCAAUAUCCAAUACAUUUCCUAAGGUUCAUUCAGAGCUUUCGAAUUCGUAAUUAAAUCAAUUUAUGCACGAAAUCAAUCAUCCAAUGCUCAAAUAAAUUCAUCAAUAUAUAUGUAUACAUAUACAAAUCAAUUCGGUAAUGUAUAUCCAAAUACGAAUCAAUUCGGCAAUGUAUAUCCAUAUACAAAUCAAUUCAGCAAUGUAUAUCUAUAUACAAAUCAAUUAGGUAAUGUAUAUCUAAUUACAAAUCAAUUCAGCAAUGUAUAUCUAUAUACAAAUAAAUUCGGCAAUGUAUAUCCAAAUACGAAUCAAUUCAACAAUGUAUAUCCAAAUACGAAUCAAUUCGGUAAUGUAUAUUCAAAUACAAAUCAAUUCGGCAAUGUAUAUCUAUAUACAAAUCAAUUUGACAAUGUAUAUCCAAAUAUGAAUCAAUUCGGCAAUGUAUAAAACAUAUACAUUUGAAUUAAAAAAAUAUUUAUUUACUUAUGAACUUACCUCGUACGGAAAUAAACGGAUUGGAUCAACUACUUGUCAACUUUCGAUUUCCCCCGAUCUAAAUCUGAUUUCUUUCUUUUUUGAUCUAAUUGAUUUCAAAUUUAACUCAUUUAAUCACAUAUUCAUUCAAUUUCAUCCAAAAUACCUAUUUGGACAUUUUUGCACUUUAGCCCCUAAAGUUUCACAUUUAUUCAAUUUAGUCCCAAUUUAACAAAUACACAAAAUUUGCACAAUUCAAUAUAACCCAAGCUUAGUAGAAUUACUAUAGUGCCCCUAGCAGCCCAAAAAUUUUAUUUAUUUCACAUUUCAACCACCCAAUUUACAUAUUUCACAAUUUAAUCCUUAUUUAACAUUUUUGUCAAAAAUCACUUUACAAAACAUAUUAAUCUAUCAAAAAUUAUUCAUUUUCCAUCAUCAAGAUUCAAAAACAUCAAGUUAUAAUUAAUGGAAACUCACAAAUUCGUCAACCAAUUCAAAAAUUAGGGCAUGGACUAGCUAGAACAUGAAGCAACGAUCUCCAAACGUAAAAACUAUCAAAAAUGGGACAAAAGCGCAUACCUAAUUGAGAUUACAAGCUUGUUCGAAUGUUUUGCACAAAAAUGGAUUCUUUCCCUUCUAAAAAUCGGUGGAAGAUGGUAAUGGAAGAUGAUGAUAAUUUUGUUUUGUUUAUUUUUAACAUUAAUUACUAUUUUACUUAAUUAACCUUUAUAAACUUUAAUAAUUACACAAAAUGCCACUCUGCUAUCAUCCACUAACUCAAAAAUGGCCUAUUUAACACUUAAGGACCUUUUCUUUAAUAUUCUAUAGCUAUUAGACACCUUUAGCUUAUAGAAUAUAACUUUUACGCUUUACGCGAUUUAGUCCUUUUUACCGAAUUAAGCAUUCAAAUAGUAAAAUUUCUUUAUGAAACUUUCACACAUAUAUAAUCACAUGUUGUAAAUACCAAAAAUAAUAUUAAAAUAAUUUUCUAACCUCAGAUUUGUGGUUCUGAAAUCACUGUUCCAAUUUAACUAAAAUUGGGCGAUUACAUAUAUUAUUGUUUUCAAAGAUAAAUAUUGCAUUAUAUUUGAUUCAUUAGGACAGGAAGUUUUGAUUGUCUCAAUGAACAAUAGAAGAUUUCUACUAGAUUGGAAUUUUAUGGCCUUGAGAGCCUAUACCAGUUCAAUAGAUAAAUCAUAUAGUUGGCACAAAAGACAGGGACAUGUGAACAAGAAGUUCUUUAGUCAAGUGUGCAAACCAAAGACAAUUGUGAAGAUAACUAAUGUUGAAGAUAAAGAUUUAGAUAAAGGCUUUGAUAACUUUCCUGUUAAAGAUACCAGGUUUGUUGUUGAAACUUAUCACAGAUGUGACUUAGCAGUAUGGGAGUCUACAAUUUUGAAGAAGUUGCACAAGAAAAAAAAAUUGGUGCUUGUUGCAAAAUGGUCAAGAAAGAGUGUUCAAAGUUGGUCAAUCAUGCAGUAGAAAGCAGCAGGAUAAACUGUGAGCCUACGAGCUCACCAAAAUGCAAGUUGCGAAGCCAGCAAAAAUGUGUGUUGAUAGAUGUCGAACUAUGAAAGUGCAAGCUACAAGCUAAAUGAAAUAUGUGCUACAAAAGUGCGAGGUCAUAAAAAUGCGAGCUCAUCGAAGCACAAGCUUGAGAGCAGGCUAAGAUGCAAACUUGCUGAUACUCUAACAAAAUCCCUUGGGAAGAUGAAGUUUGAAAAACUAGGUUAUGAUAUUGGGGUUCGCAACAUGGAGGCCAAGGAGGAGUGUUGCGAGGUUGCCAUCCAUGCAUUGGCAAACCUAGCUCCUACAUGAUUGCGAGCUCACCAUAUCUGCGAGCUCACCAAAAGAUGCAAGCCCACCAAGACUGCGAGCUUACCUACGAACUAUGAAUUGCGAGCUCACCAAGAACUACAAGCUCACAAAAAUGUGCGAGCUUGCCAAGAUCACGAGUUCACCAAGCAUGCGAGCUCACCUGCGAGCUCUUCACUCUGCAAGUUGUCAACUUGCACUAAAACUGUGAUAAAUUUUGAUUAAACAUUUUGACAGGCCAUUAGACAGAAACCAGCAAAUGAAAAAGAAAGUUAUAUGAAUCUAGUCACUGAAUUAAGCCAAGUUGUAAUAUUUUAUUAUUAAUUUUAGCUUAUUUAAGCAUAGUUUUUCAUGUAAACUAAGCAUCAAUUUUUUAAUGAAACAGAUCACCAAAAACUAACUUCUCCAUCUUUCAUCUUUUGCUUCUGUUUCAGCCUCUCAUUCUUCAAAAAUCCAACACAACUCUUCUUUGCUUGCGCUUCAAGGUUAUUCAUUGUCUCUGACUCUUCCUUGAUUUUCUCUUUUGCGUGAUUCACCCAAAUCUGGCCAUCUUGGUCAAACUCUUGUGCCUUUUCCUUGGCAACAUCAAUGUAAUGCUGCACUCUGUCUCUUUGAUAUCUCAGUUCCUUAAUUUGUUCCUUCAGAUUCUGAACUUUACCAUCAGGAUUCAACAUGUAACGUUUAAACCCAGAAACAAACUCCAUUUUAGGGGGGGUUCAAUUUAUAGUAAUUGGUAAAGCAGACAAAGCAAACCGAAAACAAAAUAGCAGUGAAUGAAUGAUCAAACUAUGGUGGAGCAAAUGGAUGAAUGAUCAACUAUGGAGCAAAUGGAGUUUCAAUCUUUGCAAUGAAGGGAAAAAAGAAGCAAUGAAUGGCAAAGACAACAAGGCAAAGGAAGCAUCAAAAGGUAAAAUAAAGAACAUGAAGAUAAAACUAAGAAUGUAGAAUCAAUGCUUUGAUCAUUUGCAGAAGUUAAGGUUUUGAUCAUUAGAAGGUCAAACUCUUAAUUCUUAUGACUGGUUGUUUAGAGUCUUGCCGGUCUCUAACCGAGUUAGCCUAAUUGAGUAAAAAAAUUUGGAAAUAAUAGAGUUAGUCGAAUUGAGUAAUAAAUUUUUGAAUUUUGUUGGUUUUGAUAAUUUUCUUUAUAUAAUUUUUUAGAUUUUUUGAAAAUAUUUAUAAUUUUUUAAAAAAUAUUAAUUUUGAAAUUUUAAAAUUUAUUUUAAUUUUUGCUGAGAGAGUGACUAAUUUAUACAUUUUCAAUACUGACAGGGACCAAAAGAGUAUUUAUUCUAAUUUGUUAUUCGAAUUAUUUGAAUUGUAAAAUUUUAAUUUGACUUGAACUCAAAACUCGAACUAUUUAUUUGAGUUAACUUGAAAUUUUUGAAUAACUUGAUUCGAUGAAAAUCUAAAUUUUUUUUUAUUUUUUUGAAUCGAAUCUUGACAAAGUAUAAUGAUAUCUUUGCUCUGACAACUUUUCAUUUUUCAAUACAUGUUGCAAUUAGUGUCUUAUUUGAUAAAUUUAUUUGAAAGUGGAGCUUCCAUAUUUAAGUUCUAAUUGUUGAUUAAAUUAUUUAUACAUUUCUUAACAAAUUUAUGUAUGUUUCUUCUUUUCAUAUUUUUGAAAAAGAAAAAGAAAGAAUUCUUCAAAGAAAAGAAAAAAAAGUUAAAAUGAAGCAAAACGGUUUUGGAAGGCAAAGAAUAAAGUGCAGAGAAGCUUUAAAUGUUUAAUGUUAUUUAAACUUUUUUUUCCAAUUUUCCAUAAGAAUUUUCUGUUUUUUUAAGUUAAAAUUUUAAAGAUUGGAAAAUCAUAAAGGAAGGAAUUUCUGGGUUCUAAAUAUUCUUAAAGAGUUGAAAUUACCGCAAUAAAAGUAGUUAGGAAAAUCAUGAAACUUUGAUUUUCAUCGAUUGUUAAAAGAUACUUGUAAUUCAGUUCAACACUAACAACUAAAGUUACAAAUUAAAAUGCAAUCGCUCAUGUACAGCACACUGAUAGGCUAGAUUAUGGGAUGCAUUUCCGGACUUAGGUAUGAAAAUAUGACUUGCAAAGACGAAAAAGAAUAUAAAAGAAAUGGAACAUAUCAUUGUUAGAAAUAUGCUCUUAUCUGACAUUCAAACUCAAAGUUGGAGUAACAUAGCUAGGAAGUGAAAUACCAACUUUAGAUCAAUGAAUAUGGCUGCAACUGAGCAGCAGCAACAUACUCUAGUAGACAGCAUUUGAACUCGCAAUGAAAGGGGCAUCUUCCAUAACUCUUUAUAAAGCGACUGUGCCAAAAUGGUAGGUGAAAUAAUCAAUUUCUGCCAUUAAACUACAUUUUAUGCUUAAGCUCAAUACUUAAAGUAUGAUAUUUUUAACACUCAUGGAACACAAAAUCAUUUCUGUGAUUCUUUGAAACUCAUACUUUUCUAAAGCAAAUAUCUCCACUCUUCCUUCAAUAUUGGCCUUUCUGUAGUAUGUAUCCUUGAGCUGAAACUCUUCCAUAUGAAUAGCCUAUAAAGUAGAAGGAUGUAAUAAGUUCAGGAAAUUACAGAUUUAAGGAUCUUUCCAUAGCAAUGGAUUGAGUGAUUGUCGCUGCAUGUAAAUUGCUGGCAUGUUUAUUAUUUGCAUCCACUGUAAUUUCAUCAUUUAUCCCCUUACAUGAAAAUGUAAAAAGAAUUCCAAAGUUCUGUUUUUUCUCCUUCAAUCAAACACAUAUGUAAGAUAUAGACUCACAAAGUUAGUUGACUGGUUGUGCCAUAUCUUUCUCCAGUUUCCCACACCCGUGAUGCUCUGUUCCUCUAAGCAAGGUUAGUUUGCUAGAGAAAAACAAGUAGUACAACAAGAAUAGGGAAUCAAAUAUUUAACAAAAAUGAACAAUAAAAAAGACAUGAAAGAAAGCAAUGAUACAAGAAAACAAAAAUGGGACAUUACCUUUCAAUGGAAAGAGUUGGAAAGCGAAUCUCUGAGUUGUUUCUUUCUAUCCUAAGAAAAUAAUGCCAGUGCCACUAGUGAUCAUAAGAUUGGCCUUUGUCCUCUUAAAUCAUUUUCUCCACCCUUCACAAUGUUCAUUCUCAAUUAAGUACGACUCACUAAUUCAAUUGUGACAAAAGUGGUAUUUGAGGGAAAAACUUAUCAGUUUACACGUAAGAAUAUCAUACAUAUUUACUAGUUACAAGUGUUUAACUAGGGAAAGAAGUAAACUCUAACACUAUAUAUCUAAUUAUAUUCACAACAUCAAUAAAAGCAAUUAAGCUUUUUUUUACUCAAAAGACUUUUGGAAUCUCAUCUCAAAACUGUUAACAUGCGGCUUCCGAUGUCAAAGUGGAGAAUGCUGAGGUAUAAUUCUCUGAGCAGAGCCUUGAAAGACUACCAAGUUCCAAAGACUUGAGUUGGGAGAAAACGAUGCCAUCCAUGACUUCAUCAAUGUAGAAAAGCUAUGAUUUCUUCUAACUUUUGGCAAUCAGUACUAACACUCAUUCUUGUGAGUUACACCAUGCUUUUAGCUAUUGUGAAAGCUACUAAAUUUCUGAAUCCAUGGCAUUUUGAUGCCUCUACAGUUGUCAAAUGUUUGAAUGACAAAAAAGAUGGCACUAAAUUCUUUAAUUUUCCGCAUCCCAACACUUGUAGAAAACUUCUGCAAGUGAUAGUUUGCUCUUCUAGAUAUGUGUCAACUCAGGAAGAUAAUACAACCUUAACUCCUUCAAGCAAGCAAGUGUUCCUGCACGUUCGUUUUCAUCUCUUACUCCUUCACAUGGAAAUAAUCCAUUGAAGGUAGCCCUUUGCCAAAAGAAAGGUAUUCAAGAUUUGGUAAUGACUAAAUGAAACAAUCUGAGAUAGUAAUUCAUGUUUCGGGACAAUCAAACUUUCUUAGUUUGGGCCAAUACUGUUUCGGGUCUGCUCCAUGUCCAUGCCAUACCUUCAUAUUGCCAUUCCGAACCAAAACCAAUUCUUCUAAAUUGGGGAAUGUUUCCUGAAAUUAAGAACCAUAUAUAUAUUAAAUAAAAGCAAAUCUUCUAAAGUGAUUGAUAAAAUAUGCAAAUCUGUUUAGAUUGACCUUUUAUUUAGUUUCUUUUAUGAGAUCUUACCUUAGUGACCCAAAAUAGGGGUUGUUGAACAGAGAUAAUGGAGUGGUUCUCUCCUUGUGUUUCUCUAAAGUUGAUAUACUCCCCAGCGAAUGUCUCCACCUUGCUGCAUUCACACACCUCCAAUUGUUUUAACAAUGGCCAAUCUGUAGUAUGCACCUUGGAGUACAAGCCCUUCAAUUUGGGUAGCUUAUGAAGUAUCAGCCGUCUUAUUUUAGGAAACAGAAACUUGGUAGUUGAUUUGAGCUCAAUUGAUUCAUUUGAGUUGAGUCCACGAUCGUCAGCGAGUCCAAUUAUUUCUUCUACCGACUCACAUUCCGAUAUUUCCAGACCUUCUAGUUUUUCAAGUCUUUCCACCAUAUCAAAUGGUAAAACAUUCGAAAGUUUGUCACAGUGUUCCACCACAAGGAAGGUUAAUUCAUGAAAUGAACCCAUAGUGAGUUUAUCAUGCCAUAUCUUUCUACACUUUCCCAUGCCUACAAUUCUCAAAUCAUUCAAGCUAGGAAACGCAACCUGUGGGAAUUAUUUAAGUUGUUAAUGAGGAAAACAAGUUAGAAUUCUACAUAGAUAUGAAAAGUAAUAUUACUACAAAAAAACAAAAAAAGAAUACCACCUUUUGGUUGAAGAGAGUAUUGGUCUCUGAGUUUUCUUGAUGGCAGAAUGUCCUUAGUUUUGGAAGCCUAAUGAACUCCAGUAUUUGUAGCUUAGUGAACAAGUAAAUCUGAGGUAUCCCUUCUCCUGCUGCUAAUCCAUCUGUAAAUAUUAUUUCUUCCAUGUUUUUGCAAUCAAGAAGGCUAAGUUGAUGGAGCCGCUCAAAAUUUUUGACUAAAAAGGAUGGGAAUAGAUAUUCCAAAUUGUGGCAACGCUUCACAGAUAAGUAUUUUAAGUUAAGAACAUUAGAGGAUAUAGCCCUGUCUGGUUUAUCAGGCCAUAAUUUUUUUAUGUUAGUUGAUGAUAGGUUCAAGAACAUCAAGCGGGCACACAAAACCUGCAGACAAAAUCCUCAUUGCAUGAAUUAUGCAUGCUUGUGAUGAUAAAUACAUACACUCAUUGAUUAAUGCUAAAGCAUUUGUUAUCAAAACAAAACAAUUUGAAUUAUCAUUAAAAACAAGUAUUUAAUUAAUGGUCAGACUUUUUUUUUUCUAUUUUUUCUCAAGAUUAAGGAAUUAAUUUCAUUACAUUUGAAUUAUCAUUAAAAACUAUUAUUUAUUACAUUUUGGCAUUGUUAUAACAUACUCUUACACUAUUAGUUAUAACAUUGAAUUUGAACAAUCUUUAACAUACGACAUUUUUAGUUUCUAUCCGUAGAAAAUAUGUACCCUACUUUCUUAUUCUAUUAUUUAAUUUAAGUUUUCACCCAAAUAAAUUAAAAAGUUAAAACACUAAACAAAAGAGAAGAGACUAACCUUAUGAUUGAAAAAGGGUGUCUUUUCUCUGCCAACUAUCUCUAUAUCCUCUUGCUCCCUUGUAGAUGCCAUUGCAUACAUCUUUGGGCAAUCUUUGACUGCGAUUUCAUUUAAAGAUGGACAUUCCAGGGUAAUACUUCCCAUACAAAAACUUGUCAACCUUGAACAUGACUUAAGUCUUAUCUCCUGAAGCUUGGGUAACAAGAGUAUAUCCAUUUCAGUUUCCUCUGCUCCUUUGAUAAUCUGCUCCAUCAUAGGGCAUUGUUUCACUUUUAUGUCUUCUAGUUGCACAAGAUCUAAAGCCAUGGAUACGCUAAAUAUGUAUGUCAUGGUAUUACACUCAUAAACUUCUAAAACCUUAAGGUUCUUGAAAUCUAAACUUCCAUGAACGUUCUCCUUCCAUAUUUCAAUUGACCUGGAAAAUUCAGAGAGGACUAAAUACUCGAUAGCUUCGAACCCAGCCUACAAAAUCCAACAAAGAAACAAGGAUUAAAGUUCAUAAAGGUUAGAACGAAGCCAACCCAAACCAUAUGAAAGAAAGAAUGACAUUAUGGAAUAUACAAUAGUACCUUUAUUGAAUACAUUUCUUGGAUGGUGUUGUUAAGGUCACUACACCAAUGUCCAUUAUCUUUUCCACAUAGCAAUAAUGGUGGAUUACUUAAAACUCCCUUACAAAAUAUCUCCAAUUCAGGGCAACCACUCACAAUUAAUUCCUUUAAACAUGGGAAUCUAAAUGUGUGGCUGCCAGAACAAAAGCUCUUAAGUCGCGGUAGAUUCACAAGUUCCAAACUUCUCAACCUGCUGAAAUAAAUGUCACAAGUUGCUUCACCUCCCUCAGUUGCAACUAUUUCCUUCAUUGAAAUGCAGUCUCUUACCCUCAACUUCUUAAGUUGGGCCAUACCUUGGACUGCUAAACAUGUAUCCAAGUAUUUCAUUGCUUCGCAAUUCCACACAUCCAAUGUGGUGAGAUUUUGAAAUGAUGCUGAGGAUGAUCCUAAGCAGAUCAAAUUCUCACAAUCGUGAACUUCAAGAGUCUCAAGUUUGGGUAGAAUGUGGUCCACUUGUACAUCUUGCUUCCAUAAAUAAUUGUUUAGAUCAUCAAGAGCUACCAAUUUUAAGUUUCUAAUUGUUGACAAACGCCCAGCAUACAUCUCGUCAUUACCGGUAUCUCUUUCAGAACAGAAUAGCUCUUUUAUUUCACAAGAAGUGAUAAUAAGGCUUUCAAGAGUGUAGAAUCUCUCAAGGAAAGAAAUUCGGAAAGCGUGGCCAUGCACUUCAAAAACUUUUAUUUCAUGGAAAGGCCUGCUUGAAAAUUGACCAUCACUUAUCAUUGCAAUGUAAUCACUAUCUAAUGCCAAAUGUUGUAGUUUAGGGAUGACCUGAAAACCAAUCAGAAAGCAAUUUUGGAGUCAAUAUGUUCAUCUUCAAACUAAGAAUAGCAUCUGUUACAUAAAUGAAACAUCAUAUAUUUUCAAAAACUUCUUAAUACUCUCUUCAUCAGUAAUUAAUUUUUCUAAAUAAUAUUUCAACCUUAAUUAUCAUAAAUUUUUGUGUUAAUCAAUAAAUAAAUAAAAACCCAAUAAUAAUAGUAAAUUAAUUUGAUGGUUUAGAGUUUAAUCUAAGAUUUUAGAUUUUAGAGUUCAUUGUUGGAUUUAUGGUUUAUGGUUUAGGUUCAUGAUUUAGAAUUUAAGAGAAUUUCCUUUGUUUGUUAAUUAGAGUAAAAAAAAGUAAGUUUUUAGAGUUCAUACCUUUUCAACCAAGAAAAGUGGUGGAUGGAUUGGGGAGUCAAGUUGCCCAUUGUUAGUGUUCAGAUGUGUACCCAAUAUCUUCAUUUUCCCACACUCAACUACUUCCAACUUGCUUAACAUUGGCCACUUUGCAGUAUGCUUACCCGGGUAGAAACAUUUCAAUUCUGGUAGAUUCCCAAGUAUAAGGUCGUAUAGUUGAUCAAACUCGAAAUUGACUGCUGUUUCUGAAUCUGAUCCUUCCUCUAAUUUGGAAACAAUCUCCUCCACUCCAGAAUGAGAUAUUUCAAGAUAACCAAGUUUUGGUAGGUCUUUGGCUAUUGAGGCUGGAAAUACAUUCUUCAAACUUGGACAGUCCCAAACAUUUAUUGAACAGAUUUUUUUAAAUGAAAAAAUUCCUUUGGGAUCACUUUUCCAAAUAUAUUUCAACUUUGGUAAUCCUCCAAUAUGCAAUUUUCUUAGUUGAGCGGUUGCAGGUAAAGCGGUUUCGUUUUCUUCAUGCAUGAUUUCAAAUACUUGUUGUAAGGAACCACAAUUCACUACGAAUAGAUCGUGCAACCUUUGAAAUGUUAUCAGCAUAUUAGAUGGAAAAAUGGUUAACAACUCAUCACAUCCGUCAACAGCCAAUACUUGUAGUUUGGGAAAUGAAUUUGGUGGAAGUGGGUUCCGCCAUAUCAUCUUCUUCUUUCUCAAGAAGGAAAUAAUCACUUUCUCCAAAUUGGGAAAUGCAACCUGCACUCAUGUCAAUAUAAUGAAAUUAGAAAAUAAAUAAAUUUCUAAAAAUUUAAGAGGAAAAAAAUAAAAGAAAUGCUCGUUUUUUAUUCUAAUGCAUACAGACAAAUUAUUCGAAAUUGAAAUAAUAAAUAAGAGAAAUGUUUGGUAGUCUUAAAAUAUGUAUUUUCAAAAAGUCAUUUUCAACUGUACCAAAAGAUGACAAGUGAAAUUUACCUUUAUCUUUCAAUUUUUUCAUCUAUCUUAUCGACCACAUUCUAUGAACCAAGAAUAAAUGUUUUCUAUCUUUUUACUUUAAUUUUUCAUCUCUUCAAUAUUCUUUCCAUUAUAACAUUAAAGCCAAAGCCAACAAGGAGAAAAUGAGUAAACCUACAAUUUAAGAAUUAACCCACCUUAUUGUCAAACAGAUCACCUUGACUAGAGAUUCGUUGGUUCCCUUCCCUUGUAUAUCUACAUAUGAAGCUCUCCAAGUUUGGACAGUUGUAUAUCGUCAUUGACUUCAUAAAUGGAAAUUCAAUAACUUUAUUUUGAGAAUUGAAGCAAAAUCCACGCAAAUGCUGAAGAUCCUUUAGCUCUAAGGACUUUAACUGAGGAAAUAAUGAUAAAGUCAUGGCAACCUGAGUUUCUUCUUCUAUAUCCUCCCAAAGGAUUAUCUCCUCUAAGCAGUUGCACUUAGUUACCUCAAAAUAUUUGAGAUGAACUAGAUAUUUAGCCAUAGAAAAUGAUAACAGGUAUUUUAUGUUUCCACAACCCUCGAUUUUCAAUGUGGUUAACUUCUCAGGAGUGUAAAAAGAUACAUUUGACAACUGGUUCUGCCAUACCCUUGUAACAUUAAGCGAUGAUAACUGCAAUUUCUCCAAGGAAGGGAACGAUAUCUACAACCAUACACAUAGUUAAUUCUACUUUCAAAUCAAUAUUGUAAAUAUAUAUAUAUAUAAUUCUAUUCUUGCAAUUACCAAAUAAUAAAGUCCGCCGAUCAAAAAAAAGUGCCAUAUAAUAGAAAAUUUCUAGUAAAUAUAAAAUAUGUUGAGAGUAUUGGGGACAGAAGAACCCAUCAUAUGAUCAGAAAAAGGGAAAAAAAAAAUACCACGUAACUAAGCAAGAACACAAGAGCAAUACGGCAUGAUUCGGAAAAAGGAAAGAAAGCCUUGAAAGAUAUUGAAUUAUAGAUACCUUUUCUCCGAAAAGUGGCAAUUCACGUUGAGGCAAUGAGGUAGCAUCGAUUUUGUCUUGAGAGCAAAAGCUAACGAGUUGAGGAAGACCCUGCAAUGUCAAGGACUGCAAUCCCGGAAAUUCAUUUCUAUCAUUAGUGAUAGAUUCAAUAUCCAAACCAUUUUGGAUAUGCAGAUUCUGCAAAUGUGAUAACCUUUCCUCAUCUGUUAACUCCUUCAGUGCAAUCUUUACACCUUUCAAUUCAUCCAAUUCUAAAUAUUGAGUUCUCUUUACCAACUUCUUAAUUCCAUGAUCCAAAUCAUCAAUGCUUUUGUUUAGCCUGAGUUUUAAGGUUCUUGAAUAUUGAGAGUUGCCAAACCGCUCCCAUUCCUUUCCUAUGAAAAUCUUGUAUCUUUCCAACUUUUGCAACUUUUGAAAGAAGUCCUCUGGGGCAGCCUUGGCUUCCGGAAUUUGAACUUCUAAAGUGGACAAAUGAGAGAGUGUGUUCAGUUCAGCAAGACUAGCAUUGGGUUGUCCCCAUUGAAUAGAAGUGCCACCCAUAUAUAAUUCUUCUAACUUUGACAAACUUGGCAAGACGUCAGCAGAAAUUGUUUUGAGUUUAGUACAACCACUUACAUCUAACAACUUUAGCUUCAACAAUUGCCCAAUUUCCUUGGGUACAAUUUUGAUAUCAGAUUGCAAAAGGCUAAGCACAUUUAAGUUCUUGAGCGCUCCAAUAAUGGUUAGGUUAUCUCCCAAAUUGCAUUGAUCUAGGCACAAUGUACUGAGGCUAGUUAGGAGACCAAUUGAUGAAGGUAAAGAAGAAAAAUGCAUGCAAGUCAAAUCUAAGACUUGAAGACUUUUUGCUUCCUUGAAGAAGUUAUCCGGCAAAGUCAAGGAGAGAUCCUUGCUGAAUAAAAAGAAAAGAAAAAGCUGUGGACAAUUCAACUGGUCAGGAAGCUUGUUGAUACUAGGAUGCUGCAAAAUAAUCUUGUUGCACUCUUUCAUUGACUCUCCAUUUGGCCAAUCUGUUACAGCAUCCUCAUCCUCAUCAUUAUCCUCCUCUGUUAAAGCAAGCACUUGAUUGUCCUUUGAAGCCAUUGAUUUGGCUACAAUAUAAGUAAGAUCAUGCACAUCAAAGUACUCCUCAUUGGUACUUUUACUAUCAAGCAACAGACAAGAUUCUUUGAGAGUACUCAGCAUUUUUAACAGCCUAUCUCGUGCUGCUUUCACGGUGUUGACUCCUUUAAUUAGACCCAAACCAUGAGCAUAUCUCAACAAGUCUUCAAUCCUAGUGUCACGACGCAGUAAACUGCAAAGCAGGAAAAUCUGCUUGAGGUCUUCACUCGGUAAAUGAUUGAUACUCAGCUCAAUAGCCGAAUAUACCUCAGCAGAUAUCUCAUUGGAGCUUUUUUCCAAGUAAGGCCUCUGUAGUUGUUGUAAAGCAUCCCUCCAAACAAAUAAAGGUUUAUUUCGCAACGCCCUUGCAACUGUUGCAAGGGCGAGUGGUAAUCUUGCACAUUUCUCGGCUACCUUAAUUGCUGUAGAUCGCAGCUCCUCGUUACUUUCAAAACUGUCCCCGGCAAUCUUCCUAAAGAACUCCCAAGCUUCUUCGUUUUCUAAAUCACCAAUUGCAAAGGUCUUUGUAGCAUCCAUCCCGUUGCUUAGAACAUUUUGAUCUCUUGUGGUCAACAGUAUUUUGCAUCCUUUGUGUCGACUUCCAAAUGGAAUUCCGACUUCCUCUAGAUCCAGUUUCUUCCAAAGAUCAUCCAAAAUAAUAAGAACAUUUUUCUCCUUCCUCAAUCUUUCACACAAUCUACGGGCUCUUACAACCGGACUGUUUUCUUCAAGCUUCAAACCCAAUGAGUAUGCUAUUUGCUCUUGGAUUUCCUUAAUGUCAGGAAUUCGAGAUACAAUUGCCCUGACUACUGAAUCGAAUAACUUAACCUCAUGGAGUUGUCUCUCAACUUCUUUGACCAGAGAUGUUUUGCCCACACCAGCCAUCCUGUACACUCCAAUCAUGCCUGUUGUUGCAUCUUUCAGUGACUCCAUGAUAUCAUCGAAAACCUCCUCUCUUGAUUUAAAUGCCUCAAAGUCUGGAUGGACUAUGGGUCCAGGAACAUCAUGGUAUCCCACGCGCUCAAAUUGGCAAUCUUUGAUAAGCUCAUCAAAAGUGGCAGCAGCUUCUUCAGCUUUCCUGCUAAGCUGGUAGCGAGACUUGAUGUUAGGACACAAGCCAAAGAAGCGCUUGGUCUUCGCUUUGACUUCAAGAUCCUUCACUUUCUUCUCCUUUUCAGUGACAACCUUCUCCACUCGCUGGCGCCAAUCCAGGACAUCGGCUUUAAUCUUCUCCCCGUUCCUUUCUGCAACAUCAACAUCUUGCUGCACACUUGUUCUUUUUGCAAUCAACGUCCUGUGUUUCUGCUCGAACUUGUCAACAAUUUUCUGGUAGAAGACUACAUAUCUAAUAUGACGUUUAACUUGGUGGAAAAUACCUUUGGCAGCCUCGGAAGAGACAUUGGCAGCAGCACCAGUACCAAUUGCAUCCAUUUUUUUUUCUUUUUUUGCUUUGGGGUUACAAAUGACGGACAGAGAAAGUAAAAAAGAGGCAAGAAAGAAAUUAGUAAAAGGAAAGAAGCAAGCAAGAAGAAAUCAAAAAUGAUGUGAAGAAGCCAUUAGCGGAUAUGAAAUAGAAAUUCUGAAUGGCAUGGAAUUGGAUAUGGACUGUUGCCUUCGACUCUGUGAGACUUCAGAUUAGAAGUCAAAGAACCAGCAAAAGAAAACAGAGAAUGACUGUGAACUUCAAUUUUAAAAAAUACAUAAUUAUUUAUCAACUUAUCUAUUAACUUCUAUAAAGAGGGUGAGUGAUCUUUGUACAGCCCAAUUUUGCCCUAAUUCCAUUACCCAAUUUGCCUUGGCCCAAUUCCAAACCCACCUAGACCUAGCCUAACCCGGAGCCCAAAACAAGACCCAACUAGCCCAACCCCCUCAAAGCUAAGCUAGGGUUUCAGAAAAGAAACCCUAGCGCCGCAUCUAUGGUCUUUAGACCUUCGGCCUUCUGGCGCCGUCGCCGUACCCCGCACCCUUGACCCUCUACGCCACCCUCAUUUGUCGCGUCCCAUCCGCACCUACUAGCUUCAUCAACACCUGCAACACAAAGCAACAGAGGACACAAAAAUGCAAAAAAUAGAAAACGACAGCAGAUAAAAAAAUUUUUUUGAUUGUAAUAUUGGUUCUGUUUUAUCUUAGGUAUAAAAGGCCAUUUUCUGGAAUCUAAAAGAUAUAUUGUAAACAGAACAGGAAAUCAAUAAAAAAGGUGAUUUUCGAAAGGCUCAUUGGUUUUCCGUUUUUCUUUUUCUCUUUUUUUCUGGGUUUUCUUUUCGGUUUUGAUUUUGAUUCAUCUUAGAAAAAGAACAAAAAAACAAAGUUUAAAAGGGAGGGAGAUUACCUUGUGGUCACGAUCUUGGCCCUCCUCGUCGCCAUCGGAGAACGGGCUAAGGUCGAGGGCCGUUUGAACGCCAUCAUUGUCGGAAGGGCGCGGAGGAGAGAGCAUUUGGCUCUCUGUUUUCUUUGUUUCCUUUUUCUUUUGUUAAGGGAUGAGUGUAGGUUACCAGAUUAGGUUUUGGGGGGGGACUAUUGUAUGAUGUGAAACGACGCCGUUUGGAGUCUGAUCAGUAACUCCAAAACGGCGCCGUAUUGGGCUCUGACCCGCGCGUUUUUGACUCCUGGGAUAAUUCCUGCCUUGGUCCCUCCGUAUUUCUUAUCUGUUUAAUGCGGUCCUCUUUUUAUAUUUGCAAUUUUGGCAUCGAUUUCUGCUUCUGUUUCAGUUCGGUCCCUGGACUAUGCGCAUUGACUUCGUUGGAACUGUGUCGUUUAAUCGACAAGGGUUAUUUCCCUAUCCAGUCCUCCGCUUUUUCUAUGCGCAUUCAGAAUAGUCCCUCCGCUUUAAUUUAUUUAUGUUUUGACCCCGAAUUUCGUUUAGAUCUUUAGUUUAGUCCUUUUUAUUUUUUAUAUUUUCUUAAUAAAUUUAUUAUUAUUGUUGUUAUUAUCAUUAUUAUUAUUAUUUCUUCCUAUUUAUUUUUAUUUAUUUUAUUUAAACCUUUGGCACGUAUAUAUAUAUAUAUGCAUAUAUUUGUAUGACAUACAUGCAUUAUUCUUAUAAUAUAUAUAUACUUACAUGUUUUCAUACAUUUUAUAACUUAUGUACAUAUCUAUAGAUCUAUAUACAUGUUUUCAUUCUUAUAAAUAUAUACAUAUUUAUAUAUAAUCUUUAUAGUUUAAAAUAUACUUUUUUUAUUCUUAAAAUCCACAUACAUACACCUUUUCAAUAUACUUUUAACAUGUAUAUAAAUUAACGUAUUUAUUUGUAUACAUAUGUAUAUUUUCAUAUUUUAAAACUUUAAUUUGUACAUAUAUAUUUUUUCUUUUACUUUACAAUAUGUAUACACUUACUUUUAUAUGUAUUUCUUUAUUCUCGUAUUCCAUUAGUUUUAUACAUCUAUAUACAUGUACAUGUUUUUAUAUAUACGUAUAUUAAUUUAUUUUAUUAAAAUAUACUUUAUAUAUUUUAUUAAUUCAUGUAUACACAUAUUUUAGCUCAUGUCUAUAUAUAUCUUUUUAUACUUAAUUGUAUUUGCUGUUUAUUUAUUUCAUUUUCGUCAUUAUUUUGAAUGGAUGAUUUAAAUUUAUUCGUUUUUUAUAUUGUGUUAUUUUGUAUGUUAUAAAUUUGAUCGUUCAAAUUAAUUGCUAUCGUUUGCAUCGUUUUUAUAUUUUCAUGUUCAUUAUGAUCUUGCUAUGCAUAAAUAAUGUAAUUUGCUUUCACUAUGAUUUUGUGCUUUAUUUUUUUAUUCGAUGUAACAAAAUUUAUUUUUUUCAAAAAAUAGCAUUUCGUGUUUGGAAUCGAGAAAAUCGUGCCCUAACUUACUGGGUUUCGUUUUUCUUGAUAAAUCUAAAUGCACGAAUCUUUUCAAGCUCAAAUUUUAAAUGAUCCCGGGAUCUUAAAAAGAGUCGCGUCCUAACUUACUGGUCGUGAUCUUAUUUUAAAUCCGAGACGGCUAAAAUAUCUUUUAGAUAAGCAUUUUUUAUUCGCGUAUCGGGAAUUUGAGACAUUGUAUUCUAACUCACUGGAUAUGAUUCUCUUUCUCGAUUAACGUGAAAUAUACUUCUUUUCCCAAAACUUUAAUGCCAGGAUCGUAUUUUUUUUAAUUCUUUCAAGUUCUCAAUUUUCGACAUCAAGACAUUAGAUAAUCAACUAGGUACCAAUUUCUGGGCGUUACGAGGGUGCUAACCCUUCCUCGUACGUAACCGACUCCCGAACCCGUUUCCUAAAUUUAGUAGACCAAAACCGUUGUUUUAAUAAAAUCAAAUUAUUUAUUAAAAACAACCUCUUUCCAAGGUGAUCCAAUCACACCCCAAAAAGGAUUGGUGGCGACUCCCGUUUUUUUUUUCGUUUUCAUCAAAACCCAAGUCGACCCCGUUUUCAUCGAAAAAUGGUGCCAACAGCUUGGCGACUCCACUGGGGACAUGUUAAGAGAGUCAAGCCACGUGUUGAUUAUUUCUUGUCUUUUUGUCGAAAGUUGAAAAUUCGAUUGAAAUUUACGAUCCUCUCAUUGCAUCUCUAUUGUUUUGAGUUAUAUUUUUAUCGUGUUCUGUAUUUUAUUUUAUACCUCUGCGCAUUGCAUUGCAUGACCGUUGGUCACACCUUUUUAAGUGGGAGUGAGAAGCUACGCCUUCGUGAGGUUUUCACCUCCGCAUGGGAUAGUGAAUCGCUUUCGGGAUAUAUCUGUACCUAUGUCUUCGUGAGAUUUUCAUCUCCGCAUGGCCAUAGGGAAAUGUAUCCCCCUGAAUCGAACUUGGUCCGUAUGAGCCUAUAAUGGGUGAGGAUCGAGGAAUUUGCUGGUUCAGGUACCCUACUUUAGAACCAAACCACAUGUAAUGAGCCAUAGGAACCGACCUAGGUAGAGUUACUCUAAAUUUUUAGUGCUUACUUAAAUGAAUGUUGUAUUUAUUUAUCGUUUAUUUUAAAUCUUAUUCUGUGUUUAAUGCUAAUUUACUUUGUUUGUGAUUGCAUGGCAUCUUCAUUCUAAAAGAGGUGUUGAUUUACGUUCAGUUUCUUGGUAGAAAGCUUAUCAUGGAAAAGGGGUUUGUUGAUAAAGUAGAGGAUAAUGCGGCUGUGCGAAUAUGGGCUGAAACUACGCAACGGGAGAAAGGCGAUAGUCUUACCGAAGGGUACGUGUCAGAAUUGUGGGAUUUUACCCGUAUCAGUGUAAUCCAGAAUGACCUUCGAGAAAUGAAAGAAGUCUGGGAUCAAUGGGAUGUCGAGGCCAAGCAGCUGUUCUAUUGUAACUACGGUGACCUACCUUAUCUGCUUAGUGUCAAAGUGGACAAGUAUUUAUUCCGAGCCCUUGCUCAGUUUUGGAAUCCUGCCUACAGUUGUUUCACUUUUGGGAAGGUAGAUUUGACGCCUACUGUGGAGGAGUAUACGACCUUGCUUCGGUGCCCAAAGAUUCAAGUCGACAAGGCUUAUUCCAGAGCUGCUUGUGUCCCUCCGUUGUUAAAAAAAUUAAUGAACAUCACUGGGAUGAGCGAGCAGUGGGUCGCUGCCCGGAUCCAACAGAAGGGCGACAGUAAAUGUGUUCCUUGGAAAAGUUUGCGAGACUUGGUUCUUACACAUCCUGACUUAAAGAAAAGGGUCGAUGUCUUCGCUUUAGGUAUCUAUGGACUAGUGGUUUUCCCCAAAGCUCUAGGACACAUAGACGAGGCUGUAUCUGAUUUGUUCGAUCGGCUUAGUAAGGGGGUUACACCGGUUCCGGCAAUACUCGCUGAAACUUUUAGGUCCCUGAAUGCGUGUCGAAAAGCAGGGGAGGGAAGGUUUAUUGGAUGCGCGCAGCUCUUAUUGGCAUGGUUCCAUAGCCACUUCUGGAAGGUCGAAAAGGUCUCCUAUCGGGUUUUCUCUGAUAACUACUCCCCUCUAGGAGAAUUGGUGGCCACGCCAAGACGGGAUGAUAUUUCAGAAGGAAAAUGGAUAGAGAUACUUCAGAAUCUCCAGGAUGAAGAUAUUGAAUGGAGGGCUCCUUGGUUAAUUCCUGAUGAGAUAUUGUACCGAUGUGGAGAUUUUGACUGGGUUCCGCUGCUCGGAAUAUGGGGAGCUAUCGGAUAUGCUCCUCUACUCGUAUCAAGACAGUAUAGAUCACGACAAUUCAUACCAGCAACGCAAGGGUUGGCUUAUAGUGAUUUUUCCUAUAGGGAGGACAACUACAAGAAGAAGGUUCGAGAAAUAUCUAGUGCCUGGAACCAAACUCGUCGAGUGAAGAUCUUAACCGUGGGUCCGACAAUUACCCCCGAGUAUGGUCAGUGGCGUGAUCAAAGGAUCAACGACAACAUCCCGGCGUCAAAUUCAGAAACUGCUCGAUCUUUAGAGGAACGCUUACAAGUUUUGCCUUCUGAGAUGGAAAUCAUCAAACAAGAAUUUGAAAAAAGGAGUUUAGAAUUGGGGAAGAAGAUAGAACAACUAGAGGAAGAAAAAAUGCAGUUAGGACUGGAUGUGGACAUUCAAAGAUUAGAGGCCGAUAAAUUGAGAAAAGGAAAGAACAAAGCAGAAGAAGAUUUAGACAGCCUGAAGACAGAUUACAAGAAGUUGCGCAGGUCGGUAAGAACUGUUGGCUUGGGUAAAACGUCAGAACAGUGGCGACAAGAAAUUCAAGAGGAAAAGACGAGAGCUAAUCAAUGGGAAAAGAAAUUUCAGGAUACUCGGGCUCGAGAAGUCGCCUUGGGAAACAGUCUACUAGUUUGCCAAGAUGAGAAGACGGAGCUGAAGGUCCGGAUAACCGAACUAGAAAGAUCGCUUCACCAGUACUGUAAUCGUAAUGCUACGGUUGAAUUAAGGGCGAGCUUAGACAAAAUUGAAGAAUUAAAAGGACAAAUAGGAGAGCUAGAAAAUGCAUUGCAGAAUAGUGAAAUCCGGAUAGAACUUCUGGAAGAAAAUAAUGAGCAGUGGCAAAGACAAUUCCGUCGGUCUCAAGAGCAAAUUAGAGAAAGAGAUUAUAUUAUGGGAGAGGCGGUGGCUCAAGUGCGCGAAGUAGCUGAUCAUCUGCAGACUUUAGCGGUUCAGGCUGAUCUAUUAAGUUUGAAGUAUGAGUCAGAGUCCGACAGGGGCCGAGAAUUAGCUUGGCUUCUUAGAAAGGUUAAGGCUUUGAGUGUAAGGGCAAAGCCGUAUAUGUAGUCUAUUUUAUGUAAAGAAGCUCUUUAUCUAGUAAAGUUUUCUAAUGAAGUUGAAUUAGAAUCAGUGCCUCUUUUUCUUUGCAUUCUUUUCAUGCAUUGCAUCACAUCAUAUGCAUUAAUAACCAAAAAAACCUAAUCGAAUAAAAUCAUUUCAGUUAACCUGGAAAACCAACAAAGUUNNNNNNNNNNNNNNNNNNNNNNNNNNNNNNNNNNNNNNNNNNNNNNNNNNNNNNNNNNNNNNNNNNNNNNNNNNNNNNNNNNNNNNNNNNNNNNNNNNNNNNNNNNNNNNNNNNNNNNNNNNNNNNNNNNNNNNNNNNNNNNNNNNNNNNNNNNNNNNNNNNNNNNNNNNNNNNNNNNNNNNNNNNNNNNNNNNNNNNNNNNNNNNNNNNNNNNNNNNNNNNNNNNNNNNNNNNNNNNNNNNNNNNNNNNNNNNNNNNNNNNNNNNNNNNNNNNNNNNNNNNNNNNNNNNNNNNNNNNNNNNNNNNNNNNNNNNNNNNNNNNNNNNNNNNNNNNNNNNNNNNNNNNNNNNNNNNNNNNNNNNNNNNNNNNNNNNNNNNNNNNNNNNNNNNNNNNNNNNNNNNNNNNNNNNNNNNNNNNNNNNNNNNNNNNNNNNNNNNNNNNNNNNNNNNNNNNNNNNNNNNNNNNNNNNNNNNNNNNNNNNNNNNNNNNNNNNNNNNNNAGUUGAAUAACUAAAAUGUAAUUUUAAUCAAAGUUUAGGAAUAAUCGGUAGAGUUUAGGAAUAAUCAAAUUCUUCUUAAUAUUAUUUUAGUUCUAAUUAGUUAUGAUUAAUUAAAUAAAACUAAUGUAAAAAAAUUAAAUAAAACUAAAAAAGAUUAUUAUGAUAAUAUAUUUUUAUACUUUUAAAUCUUUUUAAAUAAAAAAAUUAUAAAUUAAAUAAUUAAAUACAUGUUGAAUAAUAUUAUAAUACAAGUUUAUUAUCAGAUGACUUAUAUCUAUUAUUAAAUAAUUUAAAAAAAAUUAACAUAUAAUGUUUUUUAUUGGUGGGCAAUUUAGGGAAAUUUGAGUAGAAAUAGUAAUAUUUUUAUUAAGGAUUGUAUAAAUGUCUUUUGGAGUUUCAACCUUAUUUUGUUUUCAGCUUGUUCAAUAAUUGAGAAGGUUGGCCACUUGUUCAAUAAUUGAGGCGGCUGGUCGUGUGGGUCUCAUGAAAUGGCACGUGACAUCAUAAUUGAUUUCCUAUUGUUUCGGUUCUACAGAAUAGUUUAUAUUUUGUUUUGCUCAAACUGUAAUAUGUGUUUCAACUCAAUUUUGGUUAAUAUCAAUUUGUAUUGGUGUAUUUAAAUUAAAUUACAGAGUAAAAAAAUAAAAUAUAAAAUAUAUUUUCAGACAUUUAGUAUAUUCCAAGUUUAACAUUUCUACUUUUAUUUUUAAAAAUUUAAUUUAUCUACUUUCGAAAUUAAAAUUCUUCUAUAAAAUUAUACAAAGACAUUUAAAAAUUAAAAAAAUUCCCUUCAUAACCAAGUAAUAAUAAAAAUAAUAUUAUAAUUACCAAUUGGGAUUUUUUUAAAAACUGUACAUUUGAAUUCGUUAUGAUAAAUAGUAUUUUUAACAAAAAUUGACAUCAAAAUUUGGAUAACAAUUUAACUUAGAGUAAAAAAAACUAAAUUAUGUUAAAAACUAAACUAUAUAUAUAACAACCCACAUUUAAUCCCAUCAUUAAAUCUAAAUAUCUUCAAAUAAUUAUAUUAUUUUAUUUUUGAAAAAAUAUUUGCGUAAUUUUUUUAAUCGACCUAGUAACCGGUUGACUCGUAACAUCAACUUAGACAAAAUUUUAAAUAACAGCUUAGAUUUAUCAAUAAUUUAUUAUAUUAUUCAUUGUACAGACCCAUUUUGCCCGGGCCCAAAAAAAUACAAACUCAAACUAUUAACAGGCCCAAAUAAAAAAAAAAUCUAGCCCAAACUCAAAAACAAGAAGAAACAAAGAAACCCUAGCCCCUAACCCUAGCUUCAGCCGCCGCAGCCACCGACCCCAACUGCCACCACCUACUCCGCCGCUCCUCUGUCCACUUGCGCCUGCAACGAAAUGACAGGCAAAAGAUAAGAUAAAAAAAAUCAUGUAAAAACGGCUAUAAAGUCGAGAAUCGAACGCUUGUAAGGGGCUCCCCCAUUUUUUUUUUCACAAAACAUUGAAGAAAUAAAAGAAAACAGUUUAAAAAGGUGACUUUUUUUUACAUUUUUCGAUUUUGUUUUUUUCCGGUUUGUUUCUUUUUUUAUUUUCUUUCACAUACGAAAUAAAUAAAAAUAACAAAAAGAAAAGAAAAAACCUACCUGUUUCGUUCUUCGUCGUCGGGAUUCGGAGGGUCCCUCCUCCUUUCGGUCAUUUUUGGCCACUUUUUCUAAAAAAACAACCCCAGAUUCGGAAUCAGGGGGUUGAGAGGGUUAAAGGGGCCUUUUUUAAAUUUUCCCCUUUUUAAUUUUUCCGGCCACCGCGGACGGCGGCGCCGUCGCCAGUGACUGGCGGCCGACACGGCGGCCGAUGGCCGGAGCUCUUGCCGGAGGCUAACCGGUUUCUGGGGAAGAAAGGGGGGAUUUGAGAGUGUUUGGAAGGUUUUUUUUUUUUUUUGGAAGGAUGGAAUAAAUGAUUUUUUUGUUAAUUUUUUUGGAAUUUAUAGGGGCAUGAAACGGCGCCGUUUUGGCCUAGCCCCAGAACUCCCAAAACGACGUCGUUUUGAAGACAUCCGACCCGAAACUGACCCGACCCGAUGAAGGUCAGCGUGUUGUCAUACCUGAGGGUCUAUUUUCCUUUUAGCCCUUACGUAUUUCUAUUUUUUAUAAUUUGGUCCCUUUUGUUAAUUUUUUUUAUUUUUAAUUUUGCCCUAGAAUUUUAUUCUGUUUUCAUUUGAGUCCCGGUUAAAGCGCUGCGUUUUGGAGAGAGGAGAUAUUUUCCCAUUUAGUCCCUCUUUGUUAUUUGCGCACUCUAUUCGGUCCUUUUCUUUUAAUUUCUUCUCGAAUUUGCCCCAAAUUUCUAUGUUAAGUUCAAGUUAGUCCUUUUGUUGUUAUUUUUAUUAAAUUAAUUAAUUUCUAAUCAUUAUUAUCACUUCUCUUACUAUUAUUUUUAUCAUUACUCAUAUUAUUGUUCUAUUUUUACUGCUGCUACUACUAGUAUUAUUAUUAUUAUUAUUAUUAUUAUUAUUAUUAUUAUUAUUAUCUUAACCUUUUAUAAUAUAUUUAUUAUUAUUGUCACAUUGUUUAAUUAAUUAUUCUUUUACAUAAUUUCCAUUACAUUUUUUUUAUUUUCAUAUUAAAUACGUUUGUCUUAUUUAUAUAUUAGUUCUUUAAAUGCAUUUUUAUAUAUUUGUUUUGUAUCUUUUUACAUAAUUUCUGUCAUCUUUUUUUUAUUGCAUAGCCUUAAAUUGUUUAUUGUUAUUAUUAUUAUUUAUUGUCAUAUUUAAUAUUUUCGUUUCUAAAUUGCUUUAUGUUUUUAUUCAUUUAUUUAAUAUCAGCUCUUUAGUUAAAUUUGCCCUAUUUAAUACUUGUCCUUUUAUCUUUGACUUGUUUAUUUUAUGUCAUUUUUGUUCCUUAUAUUAUUUUUCAUAUUAAUGCAUUCGUAUUUAUUCUAUUAUGCAUAUCAACAAUGUAAUUUGCUUUCACAUUUUUUUUAUUACAACAUCAUGUUUCACUUUACUCGAUAUAUCAAAAUUUCUUUAAAUAAAUGGCAUUUCGUAUGUUUAGAUUCGAGAAGGUCAUAUCCUAACUUUCUGGGUUUCGAUUUCCUCGACGAAUCUAAAUAGACAAGUCUUUUUCAAACUUAAACUUUAAACGAUCUCGAAAAUUAAGAAAAGAUCAAGUCCUAAUUUACUGGGCCUGAUCCCCUUUUUUUUAAAAAAAAUCCGAGAUAAUUAAAUAUCUUUUUAAAUAAGUAAAUUUUUGGCAUUUAUUCUCGUAUCGGGAAUUCGAUACGUUGUGUCCUAACGCAUUGGAUAUGACACGUCGUUUUCUCGAUAUGAGGAUUUUUCUAAAAAAUAAUAAAGGCAAUAUUCAAUGUUUAUAAUUUUGAGAAAUUGUGCCCUAACGUAUUGGGUUGCGAUUUCAUCAUCUGACUUAAGCAAUUGAAUAUCCUUUUAAACUUUAUUGCACGAGUUUUUUGGACGAGCUCAUUUAUGAGAAGGUGAAAUAUCAUGCCCUAACCAAGUUUUUAAUACAAGGAUCGUAUUUUUUAACUCUUCAAAAUUUUUAAUCUUUGACAUUAAGACAUUAAAUAAUCGACUAGGUACCAAUUUUGGGCUUUACGAGAGUGCUAAUUCUUCCUCGUACGUAACCAACUCCCGAACCUAUUUUUCUGAAUUUUGUGGACCAAAAUCGUUGUUUUAAUAAAAUUGAAUCGUUUAUUAAAAAACAACCACUUUUACGAGGUGACCCGAUCACACCUCAUCAAAAAAAAAGAUUGGUGGCGACUCCCUUUUUUCAUUUUCAUUUUCAAAUCCAAGUCGACCCCAUUUCAUGAAAAAAAUUAUGUCAACAUUCAUCAUAUAUUACUAUUUUAUAAUUAUUUAUAAAAUUUACUAUAUAUUAUGAAUAUAUCAUAAAGAUAAAAUUAUUUAUCAUUCAGAGAUUUUGUAACACCUAAAAAUUUUGGUGACAUAAAUGAUAUUAUUAAGAGAAUAUAAAUAGUAAAAUUUUCUUAUUUUCAUAUUUUUUUAGCAGAAAAAACAAUGAUUUUAAGAAUUCUUCAAAGAAAAAAAAAAGGUUAAAAAGAAGCAAAAGGGUUUUGGAAGGCAAACGAUAAAGUGUAAAGAAGCUUUAAAUGUUUAAGGUUAUGGAAAUAUUUCAUUAAUGGAAGCAUCACUCACAACAAUAUUUUGAAGAUUUAAAAGUGAUCGAAAGAAAUAAGGUGGAAGAACAGUCAGCGGAGGAGAAUUUAAGAGCUCCAAAACUUUCGGCUUAAAAUACCCUUCUGGAAGUUGUCCAUGUAUAUCUCUUUCAUGUUGCCAUUGCUUUCCAAUCUCAAUUCUUCUAAAUAAGGGAAUGUAUCCAGGUCAGUUGACAAAUGUGUUAAACAAAAGCGAGGAUGAAUUUCGAUUAAGGAAAUGGAAUUGUGGUAUGCCCAUAUUUCAGUUAAAUUUGAGAGAUAAUCUCUCAAUUAAAUUUUGUUUAUUUGUUUUAGUUAAACUCUGAUUAGUUUAGAGUUUUAUUAUUGUUUGAUCUAUUAAUUUAGUCUAUAAAUAGACUCUUUUACAAUAUUAGUAAAUACACCCAUUAAAGAUUGGUUAUUAUACUCAAUGACCCCAAAAAAAUAAAUAAUUACAAAAAUAACCUAGAUUGAAAAAUAAUAACCUAAAUGAUCUGAAAUAAACAGUACCCAAGAGUAAUGGACACUAGAUGGCCGACACUCAUAUAAAUCCUGACACAAUUAUUGCCUCGUGAUUGUGUCAGGGAGUAAAAAAUUAAUUUUUUGGGUUUUGGACAUGAGAUGACUGGCACCCGUGUAUUUUUUUUCCCAAUUGUAUCAUAUUGGUAUAACAUGUAUACCAAAAUUUUUUAAAAAAUUAGGGUGGCAUUACAUUGAUGGCUGGCACCCCUUUAACUGAUUAGAAAUUUUUUUUGAGGGGUGUUGGGACACUGAUGGCCAGCACCCUUUUUCCAAAUUAAAAAAAAUUUUGGGUGUUGGAACACUGAUAGUCGACACCCUGUAAUUUAUAUAUAUAUGGAUGCUCUUUGGGUUGUGGUAUUGUAAUUAGAGAAAAAAUUAUUGAGAGUAUGAGAAAAGGCUAUUAUAGUUACUCACCGUCUGAUAAGCAAACAAUGUCACUAUAAGGUUAGAAACCUUUCAAGUUGUUAACCAUCCAAAGUUGUUUGCCUAUCAGAUGAGGAGUAACUGUAAAUCAUAGAUGUGAUGUAAUGGACUCUUUGAUUAUUUGGGGAGGGUACCAUCAAUUCAAGAUACCGAACAUUGGGGUUAAAUUAUAUAUUGUCAUGCGUUAACGGAGUUGGAUUAUAUAUUAUCACGUGAAUCAUAAAGGUUAUGUCAUCAAAGGGUGGAGAUACUAGCAUUCAAAUUGAUUGUAUUAUUUUUGUAUCUGUAAAUCAAUUUUGGUCUGUAUUAUUUGUUGUUAGAUUUUUUCGUAUAUCAAUUGGACUUCAUAUAUCAGUUGUCUGCAAUAUUCGUAUUUUUUUAUCAGUAAAUCAAUUUUAACCCAUGUUAAUUGUUGGUCGAAUUUUAUAUGUUCUUAUAUCAAUCUAAAAUGUUCGUAUUGCAAAAAAUUUAUGUGGACCCAAGAGUUUUGCAUACAAAGAGUUAUGUUAGAAAUUCAUAUUAUGUUUUGCAAAAAUAGUUACAAACUAAAUAAUUACAAAAAACUCAAAAUUGUGUGGACCCAAGCGUUGUCCUCGGCCCGGCAUGUAACGGUCAGGCAACCUCCAUUGGCAAGAGGGUGCACCUUCAUGUGGCGAUUGAUAAUCAUUCAGGCCGACCUCUGGUGUUCCUGUCGGUGUACUGAAGAAAGUGUAAAAUUGUAUGCCUCAUCAUCAGGGGUGACGGGGCAUUAUGACACCGGAGGUGUUGAGCCAAAAAUAUCUUCAAUGGCAAGUGCUUGCCAUUGGAGCUCCAUGUGGUAUAAGAAUGUUUCAGAGUGUGCCAAAUGUUGAGGCUGGGGGUUUAGGUCGUUGCCAAAUAUCUCCUCGAAUGAAUAAGGUUGUUUGGGAUGGGGUGUAUGUAAUGACGUUCCGGAUGCUGAAUAUUGGGGACCGAGAUCGGUGUUUGAGUCUGAUUUAGUGUUCCCAGACGGUGGGACUCUAUUACAAAGUGGUUGAGUCUUCAUCCGUUGUCGCUUAGACCUACUUGGUUGCGAGUGUUGAAGGGGGGUGCUUCUUAUAGCAGGCGUUCCACAAAAUGAUGUAUGGGGCAUGCUCGGUCACCCAAUUUUUUAUGUCCUUACCCUUUUUGUCUAACCCGUAAGCAUGUUCGCAGUCUUGUGGAAGGUUUGGGAUAUAUUGAUGCAACCGAGCUAUCUUGAUACCCGAUUCGCUAUGUGCCACACGACCAUGUUGAAAUUAAUCAAUGAGACAUUUGUCAUAAAUAGUAUUCGCUACUCGUGAACCCAUGAUAGUAUGAGGGCCGCAAUUUCUCCCUUGGAAUACAUCCAUAGAAACUGCACAAUAUAGAAAGAUAAUAUUAUAAAUUGGACUAAUUUUUUUUGCAAAUGUUGAAAUUAAAAAAUAUUUAUAGCACUCAAAUAUUGUAAUUUUAAAAAAAUUCGAAAGUGUAUUUCAUGUUUUCCCUAAAAUGAGCCUCUAUCAUUUGGCGGUAUACGGGCACCGUGUAUGAUCUUUCGAUUCCCAAUUUCGUUGCCCAUUUGUAAAACAUAUUCAAAAUUUUAAGUAUAUUUGGCAUGCAAAAAGUACAAUACUAUUAAAGAAAAAGGUAAUAUCCAAUUUUUAAGCAUAUUUCAGAUCUUCUAGUAAGGGGAGGUACAUGAUGUGGAUUUUAUUCUGAUUGGUGUCCAACAUUAGUACCCCACCUAUCAAUUGUAGAAGAUAAACUCUAGAAGCAUAAAUAAUGUUCGUUUGCAUUGGACGGCUCGGUAGGUUUUCGAAAUUAUUCCUUAACCAAGUAAAUUUAAUACCGAUUAAUCUUUCUUCCUUAUUAUCGGGGGGCACUCUUCCAAGUAAUCAUUCGUAAUUUAACCAAUGGUCGAUCACUUUACCUAGCCCUGUCAUUUUUUAUCUUUCAAUAUAUAGACCCACUUAGACCGAUACAUCUUGUAGUGUUAUAAUGUAUUCCUCACAUGGGAGGUGGAAUGUGUGAAUCUUCGGGCACCCUCAUUCCACUAGCGUUGAUAUUAAAUCGGCUUUUAGGUCCAAAAUCUGAAUGAAUGCGGCUGUGCCAAACUUGACAACAUUCAAAUAUGGCACAACCCUUUGGUCGGAAAAAUAUCUCGGAUCAUGGAGUCGAGGCCUCACAACCCGGUACUCUUCCUACAAAAAUAGUAAACAUUAUAUUAUUUUAUUUCUCAAAAAAAUUAUAUGAAUUUUAUUUAAAGCUUAAUUGGAUCACAUUUACCGUAUUAUGUACAAACUUUGUUAUGGUUUCCAUUAUCGAGGAGAGGUCGAGGAUUCAUUCUGAUAUCUGUACAAAAGUCGAAUAAUUUUUUUACGCUCGACGUAAAAUAUCAAUAUUUUAUUAAAAUGGAACCAUUUAUAUUUUAAAAAAUAUGAAACAACUUACAUCUUUUAUCUAGGAGAGAUAAAAAUUAAUAAAAAUUUCUCUAAUGGGUGGAGCUUGGUGAUGGUGGUUUAUUUUGUAGGUUGGGUGGUGAACUAUUUGGGGCUUUUAUAGUGGAGGACCAUUGAAGCUGAUAAGAGAAAGAAGGAUAAGAAGGAAAAAAAAAGAGGCCUUAUAGGAAACUCGUUUUCUUAGAUAUGCAAUGUGUGUUGAAGCGUGUAGACUUCGUCUAUGAAUUAUUCAAUACUUAAAUUAGCUGUCGCACACGUUGCAUGAACAUGUGCACACGGGUAUUGAAGGCUUUGGAACUUCCCAUACUUGUAGUUCUUGUUCUGCAAAUCAACUACGUAGGACCUGAGCGAAAGUCUCGCGCGACGACCGAUGUACUCUUGAACUUGAAAAGACUCCAUGUACCAAGAAUACAAUUUUGCAUUCAUCGUCUAUGCCUUACAUGUGUUGUUUGCCAUGGCCUUUCGGGCGACUUCAACGUACACGUGCCCGACCUUCAUUUGUUUUACCUGCCUUAAGCCUAUCAUUGGCAUCAAUCUGACAAGCCUAUACAACAUUGCCGAGAAUACAACAGAAAUUGGAAAAUGGGGUAUACGCCUCAAAACGGAGUUAACCGCCUUUACAAGGUUGGUUAUUAUAUAAGCAUAACGAAACCUGUCAUCAAAACUUCAUUCCACCCAACCACUGCUGGAGAUUAAUUGGUAAGGACGACAUUUGACCUCAAGCCUCGUAAGUUUAUGCCUGAAUCAUCACGGUUCUAGCUCGUACUCCGUGUAGCCAAUUUAAAAAAUAUAUUAAAAAACAAAUACGAACAGAUAAAUUUUGCCAAAAAAUAAAAAAAGAUCUGAAUAAUUUUGAAAAAAUAUUUUAAGAAAUGGGAAUUUUUGAAAAUUUAUUUUAAUAAAAUACAAACUGAAAUAUUUCAAAAAAUAAUUUAAAUAAUUACUGAAUGAAAAUUUUAAUAAUUAGAUUAAAAAUAAAAUAUAAACAUAUUUUAGAACAAUAUUUUUUUACUCAUGUUCACAAUUAUUUUACGCCAGUCCUUAUUUUUAUAAUCUUUAUGGAAGUUUGUCGCAAUAUGUUGGAUGUAAUAAACAGACAUUCAUGGAACCCCCUGAACAUCUUAUCGCAGCCAAUGAUCCCUUUAAUCUAUCAGAGAUAAUGCAAAUGUUGUCUUGCUUGACAACAUGCCUCCCUAGAUUUGUUAGGAAAAAUUCCUAAGACCGGAAACUCUCACCCUCCACGAUUGCGAAAGCGAUAGGAAGUACAUUCUGGUUACUGUCUUGUGCAACCGCAAUUAGAAGUAUUUUUAUAUAUUUACCUUACAGCCAGAUACCAUCCACCUGCACCAACGAUUUGUAGUAGGGGAAUGCCUUCACACAUGGCUCAAACGUCCAAAACAAUUGGUGGGAAAUUUCUCUCCAAAGUUGUAUUUCACCGUCUGAGCCUUUAUGCAGCAAAGUUUGCAAAUCAGUUACCUUACCUAGCACAUACUUCUACAUCAUGGCUAUCCACCCUUGAAGUUCGUUGUAUGACACAUCCCAGUCACCAUGCAACUGCUCCAUCACCAUUUAUUUCACCCAUCAUGUCUUCCUUUAAGAAACUCGAUACUUGAAUCGAGCUUGCAUGUUUACAAUAAUGACCAGUACAAGGAUGAUGGGCAUGUCUUUCACCAAUGGCAUGAUGCUGUUGCAUAUGGUUUUUGCAUCCAAUUUUUGGUGGUCUUACAUUAUACUUGCAACCGUGCAUAUGUGAGGCCCUUCUAUUUUCUUGAUUGUCCACCUUUGAGUCUGCACCAAUAAAGCAACCUGAACACGCUAAUUACAACCACUUCCAUCUUUCCAACAUUAUCUAACAUAUAAAAACUAUGUAAACUUCAUGACUUUGUAGUCGACAGAUAACUUCAAGUUGUAUUGAUUUGUUGCAUGUACAAAGUAUUUUUUGUUAUUGAAUUAUGGUCCGACGAACAACUCUUCAGCUUCUGAUUCUCCCCACAGUAGGUGAGUAGUUGCUAUGUCUAGAUAUUCGGGGAACUCGUAUACAUGCACCGUAUCAAGAUCUACGUCUGACGUGAAAGCCCUUAGAUUAUUACAGAUAACUAUAUCGGAUACCUUGUUCCUGGCCGAAUUGGGGUUCAUAUCAACACCCUCCACCAUGCCUUCAUUGUCUAUAUCUUCGGGGAUCUCAUCCAAAUCAGGGCCACUAAAAUCUUCAUUAUCAUGGUGGGACUGAUCUUCAUUACAAAACUUUCAUCACCAUCUAGUAUAGUGCCUAACACCUCUGGAUAAAUAUCUAGACGAGGACUCGGGAUUGAGAUGUUAUACAAACAUCCAUCGUAAUUUAGAUUUUUGGGAGUUUGCAUUAACCUUUCAUAGCCCGACUGGUCUUCCCAGUAAACAUUAAGAUCAAAAUCAAAUACAAAACACUGACUUGCUGAAAUUACAACUUGAACGGGUUUUGGAUCGACUAACUUUGCGAACAACUCAAUUGAACUUAGAUUCUCGAGCUCAGGGGGUAAUAAAUUGUGAUAUUUGUGCCUAUAUCAUCAUCUUCAAGCUCCAUCCUCGCAAACCUGAAAGGUUCCAUUGAAAUUAGAAUUUUGUAAAGCAAUGUUAUCAUUUGCUUCCCACAAUGGACAAUUGUCUUCAUACUAAUCUUCUCUUUCAAUUCCACCAGCAAAACACGUUUGUUAAAUCUUAUUCCAAUUUUUUACCGACUUUGAAAUACACAAGCUUCUUCAACUGUAUUUAUAAUUUCUCCAUCGCAAUUAACAUAGACUAACAAAUUUUGAGAACUCAUCUUAAAAAAUAUAUGCUUCCUGCUCAACAAAAUACUGAUAUAUCACUAUUUUUGUUGUUAAACUAGUAAAUAGAAAAAAUCAAAUAGAAGACACCACAAAUAAAUGGGUUAGGGGGUGUCGGCCAUUGGAUACAUGACACCCCAAUUUUUUAAUUGAUAAAGGGGGUGUUAACCAUUAGUGUUCCAGUACCCCAAAUUUUUUUAAUCUGGAAAAAGGGUGUUGGUCAUUAAUGUCCCAACACCCAAAAUUUUUUUAAUCUUAAAAAAGGGUGCCAACCAUCAGUGUUCCAACACCCCAAAACUUUUUUUAGUCUAUAAAAAUGGUGUUGGCCAUUAGUGUUCUAAUACCUCAAUUUUUUUUAAUUUGGAAAAAGGGUGCCAGCCAUCAAUGUUCUAGCACCCCAAAAUUUCUUAAAAUUCGAAAAAAAGGUGUUGGCCAUUAGUGUCUCAACACCUAAAUUUAUUUUUUAUUUUAGAAAAAGGGAUGCCAACCAUUAGUGUCAUGACAACCUAAAUUUUUUGUAAUCAGUUAAAAAGGUGUCGACCAUCAAUGUCAUGUCACCCCAAAUUUUAUUUUAGAUACUGGUAUACAUGUUAUACCAGUGUGAUACAAUUUGAGAAAAAAUACAUGGAUGCCGACCAUCUCUUGUCCAAAACCUAAAAAAUUAUUUUUUUUACUAUCUGACGCAAUCAUGAGGAAAUGAUUAUGUCAGAAUUUUUGUGGGUGUCGGCCAUCUAGUAUUCAUUACUCCCGAGUACUAUUCAUCUUAGGUCAUUUAGGUAAUUUUUUGAACUUAUGUCAUUUUUGUAAUUAUUUUUUUCGGUCAAUUAGGUAAAAUAACCUUAAAGAUUAGACUCAAAACACAUUGAGAGAAUUUUGUGUUUAUGUUUUGAGAAUUCUUUAUUUUUGGGUUUCUAGGUUUAGUUUUUAUCUCCACAUUUUGUACUCUUUGUUCUAUUACUAUUAUAGUAAACUUAUCUUUACCCGUAAUUUUUUAUCCUCUUCGAAGGGGGUUUUUCACGUUAAAUUUGUGUGUUUAAUUUCUCAAUUCCACUAUUUUUUAUUUGUUCGUUGCUUAAUCAAGUCAAUCCCCAAGUGGUAUCAGAGCUAAUUUAAUUUUUACAGAUCAAUUCAUUCUAUGGUGUCACACAUUUCAAUUUGUAGCAAGUUUAGAUGAUGGCAAUCUAGUUCAGACUAGCCUAAAAAACGUCGUUUCCAGAAAAAAGCUUGAGAAUCUAGAUAGACAAAAUGGGAUAAGUUUGAUGAAAAAGCCCUGUCUGCAAUUCAAUUGUGCCUCACGAAUAGGGUAUUACAAGAGGUAUUGAUAGAGAAAACCUCAUCCACCUUGUGAAAAAGGUUAAAAACUCUUUAUGCGACUAAGUCUCUAAUUAACAGUUUAGUGUGUAAACAACAUCUAUUUAUGUUUCGCAUGAACAAAUGUGAGAUUUUAAGAGAUUAUAUGAUUAUGAUUCAUUUCUCUUUUGAAUGAUUUAAUGGACGUUGAGGUUCAAAUUGACAAUAAAGAUUAGGCUAUGCUAUUACCAUGCUCUUUACCCCAUUCAUACAAUUCUUUUAAGGAGACCCUGAUUUAUGGUAAAGACAAUCUCUCAUUUAAGGAUAUGAAGGGUCCUUUGUUAAGUAAAAACAAACUCAACAAUGAGUUUGGUUCGAAUAGCAAGACAAAUAGACAUGCUUCCAUUUUAGUAGCAUUAAAGAAGCAAGACAAAAGGUGUCGUUAUUGUAAGAAGUUAGAUCAUUGCAAAAUAGAUUGUUAUAAACUGCAAAAUAAAAUGACUGCUAAGAGCAACGGGGAAGGUGUAGCUGGUGCUAAUUUGGUCAACAAAAAAGGUAAUGAUUUCUUGUUAGUGUCAACGAGCAAAAGUUUGGAGCUUAUAUCUAAGUGGAUCCUAGAUUCGUGAUGUUCUUUCCACAUGUGUCCCAUUAGAGAAUGGUUCUCUACAUACAGUUCGCUUAAAGGUGGAGUUGUGUGAAUGAAAAAUAGUUCAUCCAGUAAAGUAAUCUGUAUUGGUGCUAUUCAAAUCAAGAUGUAUGAUGGGAUGGUCAAGACACUGCCAGAUGUCAGGUAUGUACCUGAUUUAUGAAAAAAUUUCAUCCCCUUAAGUAUUUUAGACUCGAAAGGUUGUAAAAUCAACAUCAAGUCAAGCGACAUUAAGGUAUCUCGUGGGGUUUUUGUUUUUAUGAAAGGUAAAAGGAUCGACAAUCUUUAUAUUCUGGAAGGUUCUACAGUGACUGGUGAAAUCAGACGUCCAUCAUCCAUUUCGAAGUCGAAGUCGACUUGUUUGGAGCAGAAACAACUUGGUUAUAAGAGGGAAAAAAUAUAACUAUUUUGUUGAAGAAUGAUUCUCUUUUGGAUGUAGGUUUCAAAAAAUUAGGGCAUUGUGUUCGUGAAAAUUAGAUCAGAGUUAGUUUUGAUUUAGGAGUGCACAAGUCAAAUGCUAGAAGUCUUCUAGCUUCUAAGUAAAAAUUUAACUUGGUUAAUUCAUUGCAUAGUUCAAGAUAUGCCUAUGAUGGGCUUUGACAAAGAUUGUGUUACGAAAAUACGAGUCAAGGUGGAGAUUUGUUGAGUAUGCCUCGUAUUUCAGUCAAAUUUGAAAGAUAAUCUCCCAGUUAAACUCUGUUUAUUUGUUUUGGUCGAAUUAUGAUUAGUCUAAAUUAUUUUUUUAUUUGACCUACGAAUUUAGUCUAUAAGUAGGCUCUUUUACAACCUUAGAAAUACACCCAUUAAAUAUUAGCACUCAUAACACUUUUGGAGAAUUUUGUGUUUAUUUUUUGAAGGUUCUUUAUUUUUUCUAGGUUUAGUUUUUUAUCUUCAUCUUUUGUACUCUUCGUUCUGUUGCCAUUAUAGUAAAAUUAUCUUUGCUCGUGUAAAGAACAAUUAAACCUGCAAUGGAAGGGCAUCUCUCAUAACUCUUUAUAAAGCAACUCUGCUAAAAUGAUAAGCGAAAUAAUCAAUUUCUGCUAUUAAACUACAUUUUAUGCUUAAGCUCAUUACUAAAAGUAGGAUAUUUUUCCUUCAAUUUUGGCCUUUCUGUAGUAUGUAUCCUUGAGCUGAAACUUUUCCCUAUAAAGUAGAAGGAUGUAAUAAGUUUAGGAAAAUACAGAUUUAAGGCUCUUUCCAUAGCAACGAAUUGAGUGAUUGUCAUUGCAUGUAAAUUGUUGGCAUGUUUAUUAUUUGCAUCAGUUGUAAUUUCAUCAUUCAUCCCCUUAUAUAAAAAUGGAAAAAAGGUAUUCCAAAGUUUUAUUUUUCCCCCUUCAAUCAAACACACAUGUAAGAUAUAGACUUACGUAGUUUGUUGACUGAUUGUGCCAUAUCUUUCUCCAGUUUCCCACACCCAUGAUGCUUUGUUUCUCUAAGUAAUGUUAGUUUGCUAGAGAAAAACAAGUAGCGCAACAAGAAUAGGGAAUCAAAUAUUUAAGAAAAAUGAAUAAGAACAAAAAAAAAACAUGAAAGAAAGUAAUGAUACAAGAAAACAAAAAUGGGAUAUCCCCUUUUAAUGAAAAGAGUUGGAAAGAGAAUCUUUGUGUUGUUGCUUUCUAUCCCAAGAGAAUAAUGUCAAUGCCAGUAGUGCUACUUUUUAGACUAAAAUACCCAUGUAUUGUAGAAAAUAACUAAAUUAGUUAUUUAGAUAUUUGUGCACAGUUAGUUAGAGUAGUGAGCUGUAUAGUGUAAUUAGCAAUGUAAUUAGUUACACCUUAGCUGUAUAUAUUCUAUAGCUCUAUUCAAUUGAAAACACGAUUCAUUGAAUAAAGAAAAUAAAAAUAUUCUUUACAUUUCUUUUUCAUCAUCUUAACAUGGUAUCAGAGUUCUAAAUCUGAAUCGGGUGGAUUUGGUUCCACCAUCACCAUUGAUUUCAGCAUUCCUCUCUAUCUUCAUCCUUUCGAUACUCCUUGGAUCGUUCUCGUCUCCCAUCAACUCACCGGCACAGAUAACUAUUGUGUUUGGAGCCGUUCUAUGAGUAUUGCUCUUCUUGCGAAGAACAAACUCAGAUUUAUCGAUGGAUCUUGCAAACGCGAUUCUCUUUCUCCAGAUCUAAAAUCACAAUGGGAUCGUUGCAACGCUCUUGUUCUCUCUUGGAUCAUCAAUACUGUUUCCAAGGAACUCUCUGCUGGAAUCGUUUUUGCCUCUAGUACAGCUUUAGAUUGGAAGGACUUACAGGAAGGUAUGAUAAGGUUGAUGGCUCUCGUGUUUAUUAUCUUCAUCGGUCUAUUUCCACUCACACAUAAGGUACUUCAUCUGUUGCUACGUAUUUCACAAAACUUCGCCUUCUCUUGGAUGAGUAUGAUAUUCUUAUGCCUUCAUCUACUUGUGAUUGUGACCUUGCAAAAAAGACUGCUCAACAUUCUCAGCAAUGUCUUUUUCAAUUUCUUAUGGGUUUGAAUGAAACUUAUGCAAAUGUUCGAAGCCAGAUCUUAUUGAUGCAACCUUUUCCCUUUGUCAACAAUGCUUAUUCUAUGGUGAUUCGUGAUGAAGAUCAACGCGAGCUAGCCUCUCCUACCUUUUCUGAUUCCACUGCUCUGCUUUCCUCCAAACCUGCUUUUUUCUCCUCCAAGAAGCGUUAUAAUGGCAUCUGUGAGCAUUGCAAACUUUCGGGUCACAGGAUUGAGAAUUGUUAUAGGCUUACUGAUUUUCCCCCUGAUUUCAAAUUCACUAAAAAGAAAUCACCAGCGGCCAAUCAUGUUGUUACUACUACUGACAGUGAUGAUACUGAUGAUAUAGCUACUCAUUCAGCUCCUCUGGCUCCUACUUUUACUCCUGAGUAGUAUCAACAGAUUCUUUCUCUUCUCAGCAAGGAUUCUGCUUCAUCCUUUCAACCUGUGGCUCAUAUGGCAGGUACCUCCCCUGUUAGUGAUCCAGUUUCCUGGAUUCUUGACACUGGGGAUUCAAAUCAUAUGACAUUUGUUUUCAAUUCUUUGAAUUCACCUGUUGCUUGUUCCGCUAAUACUUAUGUUAAAUUGCCUACUGGAAAAUCUGCCACUAUCACUCACAUUGGUACUCAUUCCCUCACCCCAACUCAUCAUUUGACUGAUGUACUAUAUUUUCCCUCUUUUAACUUUAACCUCAUCUCUAUCUCAAAGCUCACUAAGGAUCUCAAUUGUUUUGUUUCCUUUUAUCCCUCAUUCUGUGUUUUGCAAGACCUUUGCAGUGGAAGGAUGAUGGGGAUUGGUAAAUAGAAGGAUGGCCUCUACAUACUUUUACCUCAUACAAUUUCAAACCCAGUCAAUACCAAUGUAACCACUUCUUUGUUUUCAGAAUCUAGUGUUACUUCUUUGUCAUCGUCUAAGCAUAUUGAUUCCUCUUUGUGCCAUGCUAGACUUGGUCAUACAUCUUUAUCCAAGUUGAAUAAAAUUCCUUCUCUACAUUCUGUUUUUCAUUCUCAACAUGAUAUUACUUAUUGUACUGUUUGUCCUUUAGCUAAGCAAUCUCGCUUACCUUUUCCACUAAGUGAAUCAAGAUCAAAAACUGCAUUCUCCCUUAUUCACAUUGAUCUUUGGGGAGCAUAUCGUUUUUCUACUCAUUUUGGGCAUAGAUAUUUUUUGACUAUUAUUGAUGAUAAGACUAGGAUGACUUGGAUAUUUCUACUAAAACUUAAGAGUGAUGCCUUUCUUGUCUUAAAGGAUUUCAUUAGUCUUGUUAAAACUCAAUUUUCUGGGGUAGUCAAGAUCGUUAGGAGUGAUAAUGGGAGUGAAUUCUUUACCAAGGAAGGUACACCUUUUUUUCAUUCUCUUGGCAUCAUUCAUCAAUCAUCUUGUGUUCACACACCACAAUAGAAUGGUGUGGCAGAACGUAAACAUAGACAUCUUUUAGAUGUAGCAAGGGCACUCAAAUUUCAUUCAAAUAUUCCUAUCAAAUUUUGGGGUGAAUGUGUGUUAUCUGCUUGUUAUUUAAUCAAUAGAUUACCCUCAUCUGUUCUUCAUUGGAAGUCACCAUAUGAAAUGUUAUAUGAUAAACCAUCUUCCUUGUCACAUUUAAAAGUUUUUGGUUGCCUUUGUUUUGCUACUAUCAUCAAUUUUCAUGAUAAAUUCUCUCCAAAGGCAAUACCAUCUAUUUUUAUAGGGUAUUCUUUAGUAAAAAAGGGUUAUCUUUUGUUUAAUCCUAUUUCUCAGAAAUUUUUUGUCAGUCGAGAUGUUGUUUUCCAUGAACAUGUUUUUCCCUUCAAAACUCUUCCUAAGGAUCAGCCAAUGUUUCCUCUAGAUGUAAAUGCUUUUGGACCACUUGAUGAUUCCAAUUUUUUUCCUUUUACCAUUACAUCUUCACCUACACCUUCAAUAUCUCAUCUUACUCCUAUACAACCACCAUCAUUACUAUCCCCACAACCAUCACCACUCAUAUCCUACACUUCUCCUACCACACAAUCAACACCACCACCACCACCACCACCGCAACCUCCCCAACCCUUACGCCAAAGCACCCGAACUCACAAACAACCUGCUUGGAUGGAAGACUACAUUUGUUUCAUAAAAUCCUCAUCAUCAACUUCCUCCACUACAGCACAAGGUCAGUAUGCCAUCUCUAAUUUUAUCUCCUAUUCUUAUUUACCUUCACAUACUCAAUGUUUUUUCCUCAUCCAUCACUCAUACACCUGAACCUCAAACCUAUUUCGAGGCAAUUAAACAUAAUUGUUGGCAAGUAGCAAUGCAACAGGAAAUUGAGGCGUUGGAAGCAAAUGACACAUGGGCUGUUGUCCUUUUGCCACCUGGAAAGAUCCCCAUUGGCUGCAAAUGGGUGUAUAAAGUUAAGUAUCAUUUUGAUGGCUCAAUCGAGCAUUACAAGCCCAGAUUAGUUGCCAAAGGGUACAAUCAAAGGGCUAGGAUUGAUUUCCAGGAUACUUUCUCUCCAGUUGUAAAGCAAGUAACGGUCCGCGUUGUUAUUGUACUAGCUGCAUUAUAUAAUUGGCCUCUUGUACAAUUAGAUGUCUACAAUGCUUUCCUCCAAGGUGACCUUCAUGAAGAAGUCUACAUGGCUUUACCACAGGGAUUUGCUAAUCUAGGGGGCAAUCAAGUAUGUAGAUUACUCAAAUCCCUUUAUGGCUUGAAAAAGGUGUUGAGACAAUGGAACCUAAAACUUAGUGAGGCUCUCAUCAACACUGGAUACAAUCAAAGUAAGCAUGACUACUCAUUGUUUACCAAAACAGUGGGUAACAAAAUUGUGAUCAUGCUUAUAUAUGUUGAUGAUCUCUUGAUCACUGGGAAUGAUAGGGAACUAAUUGAAGAACUUCAAGCCAUUCUACAUCAGAACUUCAAAAUGAAAGAUCUAGGAACACUCAAAUAUUUCCUUGGGAUAGAGGUAGCAAGAUCGACAGAAGGAAUCAUAAUGAAUCAGAGGAAAUAUGCCUUAGAACUCAUAGAAGACAUUGGUUUGAAUAAUGCAAAGCCAGCAAACACUCCUCUUGAGCAGAAUCUAAAGUUAACCAGUGCUGAAUAUGAUGAAGCACUUCAAUUGCAGUAAGAUGAUAUUAAACUGGAAGAUGCAAGUAUAUAUCAAUGGCUUAUAGGUAGACUCUUGUACUUGACAAAUACUAGGCCAGACAUUGCCUUUGUCGUUCAACAUCUCAGUCAAUUUAUGCACAUGCCAAAAAAAUCUCAUUAUGAAGCAGCUAUACGAAUUGUGAGAUACAUUAAGAAGAAUCCUGGACAAGGAAUCUUACUUUCAGCAGCAGGAAGACCAGAGAUAAAUGCCUAUUGUGACUCAGGUUGGACAUCAUGCAGCAUGACAAGGAAAUCUGUCACAGGUUUUUGUAUCAAGCUUGGUGAUUCAUUAAUCUCGUGGAAAUAUAAGAAGCAAAACACGAUAUCGAGAUCUUCUGCAGAAGCAGAAUAUAGGAGCAUGGCAGUUACAGUUGCUGAGCUUAUGUGGAUUAAAGGCUUGCUGUCAGAACUGGGUGUUGAAGUAACCAAACCAAUGAUGCUGCAUUGUGAUAGUCAAGCAGUAAUACAAAUUUCUAGUAAUCCAGUAUAUCAUGAGAGGACGAAGCACAUAGAGAUUGAUUGUCAUUUUAUCAGAGAAAAAAUACAGAGGGGGCACAUUCAAACCAGGCACAUUUCAAUAAGAGAGCAAAUGACAGAUUUAUUGACAAAGGGUUUGAGUAUUCCACAACACAAAUAUCUAGUUAACAAGUUGAGAGUGAAAGACAUUUUUUCACCCAUCAACUUGAGGGGGCAUGUAGAAAAUAACUAAAUUAGUUAUUUAGAUAUUUGUGCACAAUUAGUUAGAGCAGUGAGCUGUAUAAUGUAAUUAGCAAUGUAAUUAGUUACACCUUAGCUGUAUAUAUUCUAUAGCUCUAUUCAAUUGAAAACACGAUUCAUUGAAUAAAGAAAAUAAAAAUAUUCUUUACAUUUCUUUUUCGUCAUCUUAACAUGUACCUUGGUACCCAAGGUACAAAAUCCAAGAAAGAAACAAGGAUUACUCAAAAGCUUAUUACCAAAUCGGAGCAUGCCGAAAAGAAGAAAUUCAAGAAGAAAAUAGAAUGGUUAAAGCUAAAUUAAAGGAAUAUGAAAUAGUACCUUUGUUGAAUGCAAUUUGUUGGACAAUGUUGUUAAGGUCACCACCCCAAUGUCCCUUACCCUUUUCAUCUUCUACUCUUUCCGCAUUUAAAACUCUCUUACAAAAUAUCUCCAACUCAAGGUAACCUUUUAUUAUUAAUUUAUCUGAACAUGGGAAUCCAAAAGCAUGAUUGCCUGAACCAAAAUUCUUGAUGUUGAGAAUGAUUCAAAUGAAUGAAAAAUCUCAAGAAUAAAUGCUAUCGAUUAGAAUGAAUAGUGCAAUCCUCUUACAUUAACUAUUCAUCGACUAUGAUUAAAUGCAUAAGAUAAAAGUUGGAUGAAAUUUGAUUAGGACUAAAUGUUUAUUCAUAAGAUAAAACUUUAAGGAUUUUAAACUUUAUUUUUUAGAAUUUAAAUAAACUGUAAAAAUUGAACCAAUCUUGUUGGUUUUAUUGUGCCAUGAUACUGUUACAGAUGCAUUUAUGGCUAAAUCUUAAUUAUAAUGAUUUAUUAAUAUUCCAACUUAAAAAAAAAAUUUAUUUUAGUCCUUCAUUUUUUAUAGACCUUUAACUUGUGUUAUUUAUUAAAUCACCUCAAAAAUAAUGAAAAAGUCAAGGUUUUAAUCAUUAGAAGCUCAAAGUCCUAACUCUUUAUGACUGGAUUUUUGAGUCUUGCCUUCAUAAUCUUGGCAAAGAAGAGUGUUGUUUUACCUUUUAGUAUCCCUUAACUCACACAACUUUACAUUUUUCAUAUUGCAAUUAGUGUUUUGUUUGAUAAAUUUAUCAAAAAGUGGAGCCUACAUAUUUAAGUUAUAAUUGUUGGUUAAAUUAUUUAUACAUUUCUUAACAAAUUUACGAGUGUUCCUUCUUUUCAUAUUUUUGGAAAAGAAAAAAAAAUGAUUUUAAGAAUUCCUUAAAAAAAAAAAAGAAAAAAGUUAAAAAGAAGCAAAAAUGGUUUUGGAAGGCAAAGGAUAAAGUAUAAAGAACUUUUAAGAAUAAUUUAAUAUAUAGAGUAGGAGUGAGAGGAUUCAUACCUUUUCUUAGUAGAAAAGUGGUGGAUGGACUGGGAAGUCAAGUUGUCCAUUGUUAGUGAUCAGUUGUGUACCUAAUAUCUUCAAUUUCUCACACUCAACUAGUUCCAACUUGUUUAACAUUGGCCACUUUGUGGUAUGCUUGCCCGGGUAGAAACAUUUCAAUUCUGGUAGCCUCCAAAGCCUAAGGCUGUAUAGAUGAUCAAACUCGAAAUUGACGGCUAUUUCCGACUCGGAUCCUUCCUCUAAUUUGGAAACAAUCUCCUCCACUCCACAAUAAAAUAUUCCAAGAUAACGUAAUCGUGGUAGGUCUUUGGCUAUUGAGGCUGGAAAUAUAUCUUCAAAAUUUGACAGCGCCAAACAAAUAUUGUACAGAUUUUCUUAAAAGAAAAAAUUCCUUUGGGAUCAUUUUUCCAAAUAUAUUUCAACUUUGGUAAUCUUAUCAUAUGCAAUUCUCUUAGUUGAGUGGUUGCAAGUAAAGCGGUUUCUUUUUCUUCAUGCAUGAUUUCAAAUACUUGUUGUAAGGAACCACAAGUGUUUACAGUUAGAUGCUGCAACUUAUCACAUCCUUUGACUCUCAAUUCUUGUAGUUUGGGAAAUGCAACCUGCACUCAUGCCAAUAUAAUGAAAUUAGAAGCUAGCUGUUUGUUUCAUUUAUUGUGUGCGUGUUUGUGGAAAAGUAGAAGGAUAGAAAGAGAGAGGAAAUGUGGAAAAUAAAUAAAUAAAUUUUGAGUGUGAUUGGUAAAAAAAUUAAAAAGAAAAAGAAAAGCUCAUUUUUCACAUAAUUCAUAAAAACAAAUUAUUUCAAAUUGAAAUUAUAAGAGAAGAGAAAAUGGAAGAGAUGCUUGUUAGUCUAAAAAUAUGCAUUUUUCAAAAAUUCCAUUUUCAUUCCUCUCAUUUUCAACUAUACCAAGAAAUGAUUAAAAAGAAAUUUACUUUUUCUUUCUUAUCGACCACACUAUAGAAAAGAAAAAUAAAUAUUUUCUAUCUUUCUAUCUUUUUACUCCUUUAAUUUUCUUAUCUUUUUAAUUUUCUUUCCACUAUACCAUUAAAGCCAAAGCCAACAAGGAGAAAAAUUAAGAAUUAACCCACCUUAUUGUCAAACAGAUCACCUUGACUACAGAUUCGUUGGUUCUCCUGCCUUGUAUAUCUCCUUAUGAAGCUGUCCAAGUUUGGACAGUUGUAUAUCCUCAUUGAUUUCAUGAAUGCAAAUUCAAUAACUUUAUUUUGAGAGGUGGAGCAAAAUCCACUGAAAUGCUGAAGAUUCUUUAGCUCUAAGGACUUUAAUUGAGGAAAUAAUGAUAAAGUCAUCGUAGCCUGAGUUUCUUCUUCUAUAUUUUCCAAAAAAAUUAUCUCCUCUAAGCAGUUGCAUUCAGUUAUCUCAAAGUAUUUGAGAUGAACCAGACAUUUAGCCAUAGAAAAUGAUAAUAGGUAUUUUAUGUUUCUACAACCAUCGAUUUUCAAUGUGGUUAACGUCUCAUGAGUGCAAAAAGAUACAUUUGACAACUGGUUGUGCCAUACCUUUAUAACACUAAGUGAUGCCAACCGCAAUUUUUUCAAGGAAGGAAACGAUAUCUGAAACCAUACACAUCAGUAUUUCUACUUUCAAAUAUGUUAGGAUCGUCCCGAUUAAGCAACGAACAAGUAAAAAUAGUAGAAGAAAUUGAGAAGAUGAACACACAAAUUUAACGUGGAAAAACCCCUCAAAAGAGGAUAAAAAACCACGAGCAAAGAUAAUUUUACUAUAAUGGCAAAAGAAUGAAGAGUACAAAAGAUGGAGAUAAAAACUAAACCCCGAAAACCCGAAAAACAAAGAACCCUCAAACGUAAACACAAAAUUCUCUGAAUGUGUUAUGAGUUCUAAUCUAAUGGGUGUCUCUUAAUUCUAAGAUUGUAAAGGAGCCUAUUUAUAGGCUAAAUUAGUAAGUCAAAUAAACUAUACUAAUAAAUGCUAAAUAUAUUAUACUAAUAAAUACUAAAUCUUCUAGAAAGAAAAUAUAUUUUUGUUUAACUUGACUUGCAAGCAAUCUCUUAGAAUUUGGGUCACACAAUUCUAACAAUCUCCACCUUGACACGAAUUCUUUCAAUGCCAUCUUUGCCAAAACCCGCCACGGGCCUAUCUUGAACUAUGCAGGGAAUUAACUGAGUCGAAUCUAUGCUUAGAAGCUGGAAGACUUCUAGCCUUCGACUUGUGCACUGCCAAAUCAAAACUAACCCGAGUCUGAUUUUCACGAAUACAGCGCCCUAACUUUUCAAAACCUGCAUCCAAAAGAGAACCUCUCUUCAACGAAACGGUCAUACCUUUUUCCCUCCUAUGACCAAGUUGCCUCCGCUUCAAAUGAGUUGACUUUGACUCCGUAACGGACGAGGGACGUCCGAUUUCACCGGUCACUGUAGAACCUUCCAGAAUAUAAAGACUGCCGGUUCUUUUACCUUUUAACAAAAUGAGAGCUCCACGAGAUACUUUAAUGUCGCUCGACUCGAUGUUGAUUCUGCAUCCUUUCAAGUCUAAAAUACUCAAGGAGAUGAGAUUCUUUCGUAAAUCAGGUACAUACCUGACAUCUGAGAGUGUCCUAAUCGUCCCAUCGUGUAUCCUAAUUUUAACAGUACCAAUAUUUUACUAGAUGAAUCGUUUCCCAUGUGCACAACUCCACCUUCAACUGAACUGUAUGUGGAGAACCAUUCUCUAUUGGGACACAUGUGGAAAGAACAUCCUGAAUCUAGGAUCCACUCAGACGUAAGCUUGGAGUUAUCGUUCGUUAACACUAACAAGAAAUUAUCACCGCCUUCAUCGACCAAAUUAGCACCAGCUACAUCUUCCUCGUUACUCUCAGCAGCUCUUUUAUUUCGCAGUUUAUAACAAUCUGCUUUGACGUGACCUAACUUUUUGCAAUAGCGACACCUUUUGUCUCGUUUCUUUGAUGCUACCAAAACGGAAGCUUGUCUAUCUGCUUUGCUAUUCAAAUCAAACUCAUUGUCGAGUUUGUCCUUACUCAACAAAUGACCUUUCACAUCUUCGAACGAGAGUUUGUCUCUGCCAUAAAUCAGGGUCUCCCUGAAAGACUUGUAUGAAGAGGGUAAAGAGCACAAUAAUAGCAUAGCUUGAUCUUCAUCGUCAAUAUGAACCUCAACGUUCUUUAAAUCAUUUAAAAGAGUAAUGAAUUGACUGAUGUGAUCUUUAAGAAGCUCACCUUCGUUCAUGCGAAACGUAAAUAGACGUUGUUUCAACACUAAACGGUUAGCCAGAGACUUAGUCGCAUAAAGAGUUUCUAACCUUUUCCACAAGGCGAAUGAGGUCUUCUCCAUCAAUACCUCCUGCAAUACUGUAUUCGCGAGGCACAACUGGAUUGCAGACAAGGCCUUUUCAUCAAGCUCUUCCCAUUCUGUUUGAUUUAGAUUCUCAGGCUUUUUCCCUGUAACAACCUUUUUCAAGCCAUUUUGAACUAGAAUUGCCAUCAUCCGAACUUGCCACAGAUUGAAAUUUGUCUCACCAUCGAACUUCUCAAUUUCAAACCUUGUUGCUGCCAUCUCUGACCGGGCUGAUCUAUAAAAGUUAAACUAGCUCUGAUAUCACUUGUUAGGAUCGUCCCGAUUAAGCAACGAAUAAGUAAAAAUAGUAGAAGAAAUUGAGAAGAUGAACACACAAAUUUAACGUGGAAAAACCCCUCAAAAGAGGAUAAAAAACCACGGGCAAAGAUAAUUUUACUAUAAUGGCAAAAGAAUGAAGAGUACAAAAGAUGGAGAUAAAAACUAAACCCCGAAAACCCGAAAAACAAAGAACCCUCAAACGUAAACACAAAAUUCUCUGAAUGUGUUAUGAGUUCUAAUCUAAUGGGUGUCUCUUAAUUCUAAGAUUGUAAAGGAGCCUAUUUAUAGGCUAAAUUAGUAAGUCAAAUAAACUAUACUAAUAAAUGCUAAAUAUAUUAUACUAAUAAAUACUAAAUCUUCUAGAAAGAAAAUAUAUUUUUGUUUAACUUGACUUGCAAGCAAUCUCUUAGAAUUUGGGUCACACAAUUCUAACAAAAUAAAUAUUAUAUAUAUAAUUCUAAAGGAAUAUUUACUUUAUAAUUCUAUUUUUGCAAUUACCAAAUACAAUAAAAAAUUUACCCGUUUGAAAAUUCUAAUGGUGAUAUGCUUCCAAUUCCAAAACAUGUCAUAUUUUUUUCGAGUGGUAAUCUUGCACAUUUCUUGGCUACCUUAAUUGCUGUAGAUCGCAGCUCCUCAUUGUAAUGCCCAAUUAUUUCCCGGGCCCAGUUGAAUAAAAUUCAAUGUUUAAAGUCCAAAUAUACAGGCCCAAAUCAGAAAUUACAAGCCCAAAUUAGCCUAAACAUUGGGAAAUCAGAAACCCUAGGCAGCAAACUAAGCCGCCGCAACAUCCUUGCAACACGUCCCUUCGCUUUCCCCCCGCGCGCGCCUAGCUUCUGCGUGCGUACGCCUCCAGCUGGCCUCUGUACACCUGUAGCAAACGCAACAAACGCAAAAAAAACAACCAGCAACGACAAAGAAAACAGAAAACAAAAUAGCAAGGAAAGAAAAGAAAUAACAGAAGAGAUUUUGGGAUUUUUUAUUUAUUUUUAUUUUCUUUUCGAUUCGGUUAUAUAAGACCGAUUCCAACACUGUAAAGGGAUCCUUUUUUCACAGAAAUUGAAUAUAAAAACAAGAAAAAAAAUUCAAAGAAAAUUUCGUAAGGUUUUUUUAGUCUCUCUUCGUUUUUCUGUAUUUUUCUUUUAUUCUUUUGUUCAUUGCUAGUGUAAAUAAAUAAAAGAGAAAGGAAGUUUAGAGCGAGGAGUUUACCUUUGUUGUGGAGCCGAAUCCUUGUCUUCUCCAUCGUAAUCGGAGAUCGGGCGAAGGAUCGGAGAGCCUUUGAGUGGCUGGUCUACGGAGCGGCGUAGAGGAGCAUGUUUAGCUUAGGUUUUUUUUUUGUUUUGUUAAAAUGAAAUGGCUACUAGUUUUAGGGUUACUUAGGUUUAGUUUUUUUUUAUUUAAUACUGAUUAUUGAAACGGUGUCGUUUAGACCUGGUUUCAAUGGUUUAAAACGGCGUCGUUUAAAGGCCUUCGACUCGUGCGGUGACCCGACCCGAGGGAAGGAUCCGCGCAUUUUGUUCGACGGUCUAUUUGCGCGUAUAGUCCCUCCACUUUUCAAGGUCGUUUCAAUCCAGUACUUUUAUCUCUUUUCGAAUUUAAUCUCUUAUUUCAUUUUUGUUUCAUUUUAAUCCCAGCUUGCAACGCCGCGUUUUGGGGAAGCGGGAUAUUUCCCAAUCGGCUUCCCAUAUAAUCUGCGCAUUGCAGUAUAGCCCCCCACUUUAGCUUAAUCUUAUUUAGUCCCUGUUAUUUCGAUUUUGUUUGUGAUUUAAUCCUUCUUAUUAUUUAGUUUUUUUUUUAGAAAAUUCGUUGUUAUUUUUAUUAUCAUACUUAUUCUUUAUAUUGUAUUAUUUUUUUAUUUAUUAUAUUUGUUUAUAUAUAUUUAACUUUAUAUUUUAUAGAAAGUUAAUUUCUAAUAAUGAUACUUCAUAUUUUUAUAUAUGUAUAUAUAGUAUUUUUUAGUAUACAUACGUGUAUAUAUAUAAUAAUAUGUUAUUAAUUUCAAAUGAUAUUUUUUAUGCACAGAAAUCUUAUUCCUUUUAAAUUUGUUAUUUUAUUUCAUUUAUUUAACUUUUGUAUAUUAUUACCAUGUAUGUAUUAUUAUUUUUAUACUAGAUUUUAUUUUUAUAAAUCAAAACGUAGAUACUAAUUUUAUGCUAUUCACUUUUAUUUUACUUCCUUUUUUUAAAUCUUUCAUUAGAAUUUAUUCACACCCUUUAUUUGUUUUUUUGUUCAAUUACCAAAAUUGUAUCAAGUAUUCAUCUUAUUCAUUGUUAUUAUAUUUUUCCUUUUUUUCUCAUUGUUUCGAAGUUUUUUUUAUUUAUUGAUUAUUAAUUUUUAGGUUGCUUAAUUAUUAACAUGGAUGUUUGUAUAACAUGAUUAAAGAAUGUUUGUAUUAGUUUAAGUUUAGAUAGUUUAUUUAUCUUUUACAUUAUAUGUAUUGCUAUUCAAUUAUGUUCUAUAUGUAAUAAUUGUAUGUUAUUAAAGCGUUAUAAUCGUUUUAUUUCAUAAUUCCUAAAUAACUUGGUGUUCAUAAGUUCUCGAGAAUUGUGACUUAACUUACUGGGCUUUAAUUCUUUUCGAUGAAUUUAGAUAAUCAAAUGUUGGUUUUAUUAAAACUAUACAAUUGUUAAAAUAAAGUUCUUAAGAUCUCAAAAUGCUGAAUCCUAACUUAUUGGAUACAAUGUUUUGUUAUCUCAAUAAAGGCAAUGUUUGAUGUUUGAGAAUAUCAAGAAAUUAAACCCUAACUUACUGAGUUUCAAUUUCUCGAUGGACUUAGAUAAUCAAAUAACCCUCUUAAAACACAUGAUUUUCUUAAAAAGGGACAAAUUUAAUUUCAAAGAUUGAAUCGUUGCACCCUAACUUACUGAGUGUGACAAUUUAUUUCUUUAAAAUAAAUGAAUCUCAUCAUCCAAUUCAUUUUAUUCAAAUUUUCUCUUCAAAGGAUUGUAUUCUAAAAUCUUUUCAAAUUCUCGACACUAAGACAUUAAACAAUCGAUUCGGUACCAAUUUUGGGCGUUACGAGAGUGCUAACCAUUCCUCGUGCGUAACCGACUCCCGAACUUGUUUUCUCAAAUUUUGCAGACCAAAAUCAUUUUUAAUGGUGAACCGGUCACACCUCAAUAAAAGAUCGGUGGCGACUCCCAUUUUUGUUUUUAAAGUCGAUAACUUAUUUUUGUUUUCAAAAAGUGGUUUUAACACUCAUCACUUUCAAAACUGUCCCUGGCCAUCUUCUUAAAGAACUCCCAAGCUUCUUCGUCAUCUAAAUCAACAAUUGCAAAGGUCAUUGUAGCAUCCAUCCCAUUGCUUAGAACAUUUUGAUUUCUUGAGGUCAACAGUAUUUUGCAUCCUUUGUGUUGACUUCCAAAUGGAAUCCCGACUUCCUCUAGAUCCAGUUUCUUCCAAAGAUCAUCCAAAAUAAUAAGAACAUUUUUCUCCUUCCUUAACCUUCCAUACAAUUUACGGGCUCUUACAUCCGGACUGUUUUCUUCAAACUUCAAACCCAAUGAGUAUGCUAUUUGGUCUUGGAUUUCCUUAAUGUCAGGAAUUUGAGAUACAGUUGCCCUAACUACUGAAUCGAAUAACUUAACCUCAACCUCAUGGAGUUGUCUCUCAACUUCUUUGACCAGCCAUGUUUUGCCCACACCAGCCAUUCCGUACACUCCAAUCAUGCUUGUUGUUGCAUCUUUCAGUGACUCCAUGAUAUCAUUGAAAACCUCCUCUCUUGAUUUAAAGGCCUCAAAGUCUGUAUGGAUUAUGGGUUCAGCAACAUCAGGGUAUCCCACUCGCUCAAAUUGGCACUCUUUGAUAAGCUCAUCAAAAGUGGCAGCAUCUUUUUCUGCUUUCCUGCUAAGCUGGUAGCGAGACUUGAUGUUGGGACACAAGCCAAAGAAGCACUUGGUCGUUGCUUUGACUUCAAGCUCCUUCACUUUCUUCUCCUUUUCAGUGAUAACCUCAUCCAAUCUGUGGCGCCAAUCCAGGACAUCGGCUUUAAUCUUCUCCCCGUUCCUUUCUGCAACAUCAACAUCUUGCUGCACACUUGUUCUUUUUGCAAUCAACGUCCUAUGUUUCUGCUCGAACUAGUCAACAAAUUUCUGGUAGAAGAUUACAUAUCUAAUAUGACGUUUAACUUGGUGGAAGAUACCUUUCGCAGUCUCGGAAGAAACAUUGGCGGCAGCACCAGUACCAAUUGCUUCCAUUUUUUAUUUUUUAUUUUUUUGCUUUGGGGUUACAGAUAACAGUUAGAGAGAGUAAAAAAGAGGCAAGAAAGAAAAUACUAAAACGAAAGGAUAUGGACUGUUGUCUUCCACUCUGUUAGACUUAGAUUACAAAUCAAAGAACCAAGAAAAGAAAACAGAGAAUGGAUGUGGACGAUUGCGGGUAUUUUCAUUGGAGUUAACUUCUGAGGAUGAGUGAUGUAGCACAUCAAUUCAAAGGGUUAAUAACCAAUUUAGCCCCUGAACUAUACCUAAAAUACUAAUUUGAUACAUUUGAAAUUCUACAAAUUUCAAAGGGUAAACUGCUCGUAUAGUGACCCAAGGUUUGAUGUCUUCCUAUUUUGGUCACUGAUUUUUGUUUUUUUAAUUUAGUUACUUCCAUUAGAUUAAUUGUCAUUUUUAAUCACUCCAUCGUUAAAAUGCCUUGGUUAUUGAACGAAAUGCUAACAUGGUAGUAUUUUUAUUGGUAUAAUAACAAAUUUAGCCCUUAACACUUUACACAUUCUAUCAAGUUGAUCCUAAUUCUAGAAAAAAUCAACAAUUUUAACACUCAAUGUUUGCAUAUUUUGUCAAUUUAGUCCAAAUUCAAAUAAUUAAAAAAAUUUAUAAUUUUAAGAACUUGAAAUAUAUAUAAUUUAUUAUAAAAGGACAUAAAAAUAUAAAAUAUUUAAAAUAUAUAUACUUACAAAAGGGCUUAGUUGCUAUUUGGUCCUAAUUCUAAAAAGUCAACAAAUUUAAUCUUUAAUGUUUGCACAUUUUAUCAAUUUAAUCCAAAUUCUAAAAAUUUAUAAAUAAAAUAUUCAAAAAUAUAAAACAUUCAAAAAAAAUUAAUCAAUCCUACAACCGAAAUAGGUAAAGUUUUCUUAGCUAUAAUUCAAAAUCAUUUUUAAAAAAAACCCACCAAAUGCUCCUACUUUUUAUAUAUGCAACUGCAUGACAUUGCAAUUAAAAAAAAUUACAAAAAAAAAUGUGCAAUUUUUUUUUCUUGUUAUUAGAUUUUCUUGGUCAACCAAACAAAAGAGAUAAACUAUGUAAAACAACAUUGUCCCCUCAUCUCCUUCCCUGUUCGUCUUCAAGCUUCUCAUUGUUCUUAUACUCCUGACCAAAUCUCACAAUCUCAAAAAUCAUACCAAAUUGAUACCCAACUUUAUUAGACCCAAACUAUGUUAUGUACUUGGAGAAAUAUAAAUUCUCAAAUGACAGUGUUGAAGGUAAAAAUUGAGUAUAUUCUAUGUCAAGGAAGGAAAAGUGCUGUUACUUUCAUGAAAAAAUAAAAGAAAGAAGAAAAUAACCCAGAGAGAAUAAGAUGAGAGAAAGAAUAACAAUAUUAAUAACAGAAAAACUACCCCCUCAUUCUCUGCCCAUGCCAUUAUUUGUAGAAAAAUCCUCAUCUGAGUGUGUGCGCCAAUAUUCUCUGUUUGCUCAUCAUUAGCCCACGUGUCAUUCAGUUAUGAAGUCAGCAUAUUGCCUAGGCGAAUACCUCCUGCGUGAGCUUCUUCUCAACUCUUGGUUCCUUUGGGCUGUGUACUCUCCAACAGGGCCCUCAGCAGCAUUUCGGUUCAGAACAGUACCCUCUUUAUCGAGAUGAACCCUGUCCUCAAGGUGGAAAGCAGGGUAAAGCUGGUGCAGUUUCUCGUUAUCUUUCCAAGUAGCAUUGUCAAUGGUCAGGCCAUUCCAUUGGAUUAAGCACUGGUUUACGGUGGCAGACCCUCGUUGUACUUGCUUAUGAUCUAAGACUGCAAUGGGGUACAAGUUAAUAGAGCUGGUGGAAUCGACCAAAUCCAAAAGAGUGACUUGCUGGUCAGGGUGUCCGAGGUAUUUCUUGAGCAUAGACACAUGAAAUACGGGAUGGAUACGAGCCGUAGAAGGCAGGUCGAGCUCAUAUGCGACUGGACCAACACGUUUGAGGACCUAAUAUGGACCAAAAUAUCUGUGACCGAGCUUUGAAUGGCGCUGCAACCGUAUAGAAGAUUGUCGAUAAGGUUGCAAUUUAACAUAUAACCAGUCCCCGACAUUGAAACUGAUAUCUCAGUGAUGUUUAUCAGCAUAGAACUUCAUCCAAGCCUGAGCUUGGGCUAAAUUUAUUUUGAGCAGCUGUAAAACAUGGUCUCGUUCGAGUAACUGAGCAUCAAUGAGAGGGUGACCGCUGUCGUCCUUAACAUACCGUGCUAUUGUAGAUGGGAGCGACCAUACAACACUUCAAAAGGUGUCAUUUGCGUAGCCGUUUGGUAUGAGGUGUUGUACCAAUAUUCGGCCCAAGGUAAAAAUAACAUCCAAGAGGUAGGGUGGUCCGAGGCAUAGCAACUCAAAUACAUUUCCAAGCAUCGGUUGAGGGCCUCCGUUUGGCCGUCAGUUUGUGGGUGGUAUGCGGUGCUCAUACUCAGUGUCGUGCCUUGGAGCCUAUAUACUUCUUUCCAGAAGCUACUGAGGAAACGAGGAUCACGGUCCGAGACAAUCUCCGUAGGAAUGCCGUGUAAUCGCACUACUUCUUGCACAAAGGCAGAAGCAACUAUUUGACUGGAAAAAUGAGUUGGCAGACCUACAAAAUGCCCAUAUUUUGAAAGUCGAUCAACGACCACCAUAACCACGAUUUUACCCUUUGAAGGUGGAGGCCCGGUGAUAAAAUCCAUGGAAAUAUUUUCAAAGACCAAAGUCGGAAUUGGAAGAGGUUGAAGGAGGCCAGUUGGAGAAACUAUAGCAGACUUCAUCUGUUGACAGAUCUGGCAAGAGCAGACGAAUUGGGUGACAUCUCACGCAUAUUCUUCCAAUAAAAAUUUGUAGUAAGGCGAUGAAACGUACGGGUGAUGCUGGAGUGACCGCCAACAGGGGACGAAUGGAACUCCGUUAAUAGACUAGUGUGAAGUGGAGAAUCAAAGGUAGCACCAGUCGAGAGUUAAAGAAUAGUAGCUUGUCUUUGAACAAAAAUCCCGGUAGAGAAGUUGGAUCAGUGGCUAGACGUUGCUGCAAAGCAAGCAACUCAGGAUGCACAGCAUUGGCCUCUCGGAGCUGAUCAACUAUAGAAAACUAAACAUGAGAAAGAGCCAAGAAUUGGGUAGCAGAAAUUCUGGACAAGGCAUCUGUUACGGUGUUGAUUCGGCCCGGACGGUAAACGAUGUCGAAGUCAUAGCCAAUCAAUUUACCCAACCACUUCUGUUGAUCCGGUGUUUGAAUUACUUGAGAGGUAAUACUCUUUAAUGAUUGCUGAUCAGUAAUAAUUGUAAAUCGGUUACCCAAAAGGUACUGGCGCCAUUUAGAAACGGCUUGCGUAAUAGCAUACAUCUCCCUUUGAUAUGUGGAGUAUUGUUGCAAUCGAGGGCUGAGUUGGGGGCUAUAAUAUGCAAUAGGGUGACUACCUUGUGAAAGGAUAGCACCGAUACCAGUACCCGAAACAUCUGUUUCCACCACAAAUGGUUUGCUGAAAUCAGGUAAUGCAAGAAUAGGGGCUUCACUAAGUAGCUGUUUCAAAUGCUCAAAGGCCGUGUGGGCUAAGGGAGUCCAUUGGAAGGCAUUUGUUCGCAGCAGGUCAGUCAAGGGACCGGCAAUGGCCGCGAAGUGACGGAUAAAGCGGUAGUAAUACCCGACCAAGCCGAGAAAACCGCGGACAGCCUUGACGGUGCGGGGAAUAGGCCACGAUUGGAUGGCUUUAAUUUUAUCGGGAUCCACCUGAGCUCCUUGCCGAGAAACAAUCUGUCCUAAAUACCCAAUGCUUGUAUGACCAAAUAGACAUUUAGAACAUUUCGCCACUAACUGGUGUUCGCGGAAGAGAUGAAAAACAACCUGGAUAUGUUCUAAAUGGGUUUCCCAAUCUGGACUAUAGAUCAAAAUGUCGUCAAAGAAAACCAACACAAACUUGCGGAGGUACGAACGAAAAACCGAAUUCAUAAGACUUUGAAAUGUAGAUGGCGAGUUUGUGUGCCCAAACGGCAUGACGAGGAACUCAUAAUGCUCGUCGUGAGUCUUAAAGGCAGUCUUGCUUUCAUCCUCGGCUUUAACUCGAAUUUGAUGGAAUCCAGCCAACAAAUCGAGUUUAGAGAAAUACAUAGCCCCAUGAAGUUCAUCGAAUAAUUUAUCGAUGGACGGAAUCGGAAAUUGAUCUUUGAUAGUCACAGCAUUGAGGGCUCGGUAAUCAACACAAAAGUGCCACUAGCAAUCUUUCUUGCGUACCAGUAACACUGGUGAGGAAAAAAGACUUGUACUUGGUUGGAUGAUACCAUCAGCCAGCAUUUCUAAAACCAACCGCUCGAUUUCCCGUUUCUAAAAAUGUGGAUAUCGAUAAGGCUUAACGUUCACCAGACCAUAAUUUGGGGCUAGAUGAAUCGCGUGAUCAUAGUCUCGCAUCGGAGGUAAUCCUAUUGGUUUGGAAAACACGUCAAAAAACUCAGUCAAUAAGGCAUCAAUUUCAAGGACCACAACUUCAGAUGGAAAAUUAGGCUCAGAAACGAGAUCUAACCUGAAAAAUUCAGCCACAGAAUUAUUGUGAGUCAAGCGGCGAAGCCCAUUGAACUGUAUAGGUUGAACAGCGGGAGCCUCAUCUCCCGUCCAUCGAACUUUCUGGCCGGCAUAAGAGAACUCAAAAUUUGAUGAAGAGUAAUCGGUAAGUACUGGUCCCAACGUUGCUAACCAUUCUACUCCCAAGACCAUGUCCCAUCCUUGAAUAGGAAAAACGAAGAAAUCAACGAGGAUUUCUUGAUUUUGGAUAACCAGAGGGACUUGUCGAACGAUGCCAUCGCAAGGGAGGCAUUCACCACUACCCACCAAAACAAAAAAGCUGGGAGUGGUAGUAACUGUCAAAUUUAAAUAAGAGGCGACGCGUGUCUGAACGAAGUUAUGAGUGCUACCGCCAUCUAAUAACACUUGGACAGGUUUCCCAAACACUGUUCCUUGGAACCUAAGUGUCGAAACAGAGCAGCCUCCGGCUAGGGCAUUGUACGAUAUGGCUGACUGCAGGGGAGAAGAUGGAUCUACGGAAGAUAACUUAGGAUCGGGACCGUGAGGAGGAGGAAGCAGCAAAGGGUUGUUAACUUCAGUGGGUUUUGAAUCAUUUUCAAGAAACAAAAGUUGAGGUUUAGACUUGCAUUUAUGGUCCCAGGAAUAUUUCUCAUCAAAGUGAUAGCACAAGCCUUUGGAUCGGCGUUGGGCGGCCUCCGAUGGGGUAAGACGACGAAUGGGUAAAGUGGCUGUAGAUUGGGUUGUAGGAGGUUACGAGGCGGUGGGGUGAACUUUGGGGUUAAAAGAAGGUAUGGG